GGGAGUUCAUGAUGGCUGGGAGUUUGUUAAGAGGGAGAUAGUAAAAGCACAACGUCAGGCAAUACCAAUGAGACGGAAACAUGGAAGGUGCCUAAAGAAGCCAGGGUGGCUAUCUAAAGAACUUUUAACUGAGUUAAGAUUAAAAAGGAUGUGUACAAAAAUGGAAAAGGGGAAACCACCAAAGAGGAAUUCAAACAAAUAGCCAGCACGUGUAGACACAAAGUCAGAAAAGCUAAAGCACAGAAUGAACUCAGGCUUGCUAGAGAGGUUAAAAGCAACAAAAAAGGCUUUUAUGGGUAUGUUCGUAGCAAAAGGAAGAACAAAGAAACAGUGGGGUCACUCAGAGGAGAAGAUGGUGAAAUGCAAACAGGGGACACAGAAAGGGCUGAACUCCUCAAUGCCUUCUUUGCCUCAGUCUUCUCCGAUAAAGAAAACAAUGCCUGACCUGAAGAAUUUGGAGCAAAUGAUUCAGCAAAGGAAACACAGCCCAGAAUAACUAAGGAGAUAGUACAAGAAUACUUGGCUAGUUUAGAUGUAUUCAAGUCUCCAGGGCCAGAUGAACUGCAUCCAAGAGUAUUAAAAGAACUGGCAGAUGUGAUCUCAGAACCACUGGCAGUCAUCUUUGAGAAUUCCUGGAGAACAGGCGAAGUCCCGGAAGACUGGAGGAGGGCAAAUGUUGUCCCUAUUUUCAAAAAGGGGGAAAGAGAGGACCCAAAUAAUUACCGCCCAGUCAGUCUGACAUCAAUACCAGGGAAGAUUCUGGAGCAGAUCAUUAAGCAAACAGUCUGUGAGCACCUAGAAAGGAAUGCUGUGAUCACCAAUAGUCAGCAUGGAUUUAUGAAAAAUAAGUCAUGUCAGACUAACCUGAUCUCGUUUUUUGACAGAAUUACAAGUCUGGUAGAUGAAGGGAACGCAGUGGAUGUAGCCUACCUUGAUUUCAGUAAGGCAUUUGACAAGGUGCCCCAUGAUAUUCUUGUAAAGAAGCUGGUAAAAUGCGGUCUUGACUAUGCUACCACUCAGUGGAUUUGUAACUGGCUGACUGACCGAACCCAAAGGGUGCUCAUCAAUGGUUCCUCUUCAUCCUGGAGAAGAGUGACUAGUGGGGUGCCACAGGGUUCUGUCUUGGGCCUGGUCUUAUUCAACAUCUUUAUCAACGACUUGGAUGAUGGACUCAAGGGCAUCCUGAUCAAAUUUGCAGAUGACACCAAACUGGGAGGGGUGGCUAACACCCCAGAGGACAGGAUCACACUUCAAAACGACCUUGACAGAUUAGAGAACUGGGCCAAAACAAACAAGAUGAAUUUUAACAGGGAGAAAUGUAAAGUAUUGCACUUGGGCAAAAAAAUGAGAGGCACAAAUACAAGAUGGAGGACACCUGGCUUGAGAGCAGUACAUGUGAAAAGGAUCUAGGAGUCUUGGUUGACCACAAACUUGACAUGAGCCAACAGUGUGACGCGGCAGCUAAAAAAGCCAAUGCAAUUCUGGGCUGCAUCAAUAGGAGUAUAGCAUCUAGAUCAAGGGAAGUAAUAGUGCCACUGUAUUCUGCUCUGGUCAGACCUCACCUGGAGUACUGUGUCCAGUUCUGGGCACCACAGUUCAAGAAGGACACUGACAAACUGGAACGUGUCCAGAGGAGGGCAACCAAAAUGGUCAAAGGCCUGGAAACGAUGCCUUAUGAGGAACGGCUAAGGGAGCUGGGCAUGUUUAGCCUGGAAAAGAGGAGGUUAAGGGGUGAUAUGAUAGCCAUGUUCAAAUAUAUAAAAGGAUGUCACAUAAAGGAGGGAGAAAGGUUGUUUUCUGCUGCUCCAGAGAAGCGGACACGGAGCAAUGGAUCCAAACUACAAGAAAGAAGAUUCCACCUAAACAUUAGGAAGAACUUCCUGACAGUAAGAGCUGUUUGACAGUGGAAUUUGCUGCCAAGGAGUGUGGUGGAGUCUCCUUCUUUGGAGGUCUUUAAGCAGAGGCUUGACAACCAUAUGUCAGGAGUGCUCUGAUGGUGUUUCCUGCUUGGCAGGGGGUUGGACUCGAUGGCCCUUGUGGUCUCUUCCAACUCUAUGAUUCUAUGAUUCGCAAUGACCAAAACAAGCAUGUAAAUUGUAAAGAAUAUUGAGAGAUAUUGAGAUGAUGGAUACUCCUCUUAACACCCAUAAGGUGUUAAAAUAGAGGAGUCAAAAAGGUGCUAGAUUAAGUAAAUCAAUCUAUAGCUUCUAAGAUCCCCACCAAGUAAUCAAAGAAUCUCUCUCUAAUUCUUCAAUAAAGUUCACAGUUUUCCUUAAAGAUAAAUAAUUACACUGCUUCUUCAUUAAUUUGUCGGUAAAUUCUAUUAGACUUUGAAUCUUUAUAUCCUGGAAAUGUAUCUGAAGCUAAAUGAACCUCAUUACACACUUUUCAUGAAUGUGAUAAUGGGGGUAAAUGCACAAAUCACAGCCUAUCAUAGUUAAUUGCUGAACUCCCAAUAUUACAAACUUUAAAUUUGCACUACUAUUUAAAAUGAUAAAUUUAUUAAUGGGAGAGUUUCUCUGCUGAAGUCUACAUACAUUGGUAGCAGUCUGGGGCACCUUCUUAAUGCAGAUUUUAAAUGGUAUAGAGAGAUAAACACAACAAGAUUUUUAUCAAGGUUUUUGAUAAAUGAAUGUCUUUGCAAAAUUUUACAGCUAAAAAGGUUAUUUACUUAAAGAGAGAUUUUUCUGUACGUGUAAAGGUCAGAUUUUUUAGAUUGCUGUGAAAUUGCUUCUGCCUUUUAGCAAAUCUUCCAAGACGGCUUUUCUCCUUGCAGUGUUGACAAGGACAUGGAAGGACAUGGCCUAAAGAAAUCAAAUGAGCAGCAUAAACUCUUGUCUGGAAUCUUCUGGAACAAUAGAGCAUGAUCCCGCCAAAAUCAGCUAGGCUCUACCAAGAGCAGAUGAUGCGGCAAAAUAGUUCCUCAGCUGCUGUAGUUUAGAUUCCAGGCAUGUUGUGUAUGGUGUGUGUGUGUACUGCAUGACAGAAUCUCCCAUAUAUACAUUCUGCUCUGCUUUCCCCCCCUGAGGAUAUUCAAGGGUAUGCAGUACCGGCACCUUUGUCCCCCCCCCCCCAAAUGUUAAAAGUGUGGCACUUACUUAAUGGUGAGUACCAGCACAGUUAUUUUUAAGCGCUGCAUUAGGGUGCAGGGGGAGAGAGGCUAGUUCUAGCACUCUCACAAACAUGCCAUCAUAUAGGAGAGACAAAAAUACAAGCCUUUUGAGAUCUUGCUCAGUCUGCAUCCUUAUUUGAAUUCUUUUAAAUGUGUUUUUAUUUUUUAUUGUUUUCCCACCUUAGCCUCCUUUGGGAGGAAUAGCAGGAUAUAAAUUUAAUAAAUAAAUAAAAGGGAUUAGACAGAUCCCAAGCAUACAGUUAAAGCACCAUUAAAGCACCUAUAGUUCUUCUUUUUAAGGGUGCUGGGAAUUAUAGCUCUGUGAGGAAUAAACUACAGUUCCCAGGAUACUUGGGGAGAAGCCAUGUGCAUGUCUGCAUCCCCCCUUCUUCUGUUGUUUCCUUCUGUCUAGUUCAAGUGUUAAACCACUUCAGGAGGAAUAUAUCACACCUGUUCUUUGUAAAGUGCCGUCUUUAUAUAGGUGGCGCUGUAUGGAUAAAACAAAAAAUGCCGCAGGGCUCUUCUUAUGUUGUAUCUUAACUUCACUCAAUGCCUUGACUCUGCAUUAAAUUUAUAUUCCACGCUUGUUCCCAAAGCAGUCCAGGAUGGCAAACCCCAAGAUAUAAACUUAUUAAAGACAUAUUUAAAACAAUUCCAGUGUAGAUGGUACACAUGGGAAAAAACCAUCUAAUCUGAAAAGGCUUGUUGAAAGAGGAAAGUCUUUAGUAGGCACCAAAAAGAACAGUUCUGUAGACCACAGCAACUCCACACACACACACACACACACACACACACACACACAUCCCUGCAACCUGUGCUAAUACUAAGCUAAUACAGGUGGUAAUACAGGUGGUAAUACAGGUGGACAGAGCUGGGUCAGGAUCAACUCCCAGCUCACCCACCCAGGUCUCGGUAGUAUAUGCCAAAUCAGCAUUCUCAUCCAUUAUCAAAUUACUUGAUUCCUUUUGGUAUUUUUGUUAACUCUGCUAGUUUGGACCAGUGUGGCUAGACCUACAGAAACCCAUCCUCUAGCAGCAUAGUUAGGAAUGGAUUGGGAAAUGUUUCUCUAACAACAUCUGAACUAAAUUCAUCCAUGAAUUCAUGUUCUAGAAUGGCUUAUUCCUCAGACACAGUGAAAUAAUUUGUAGACAAGUAUACAAAUUUAAAGCCUUGACCAAAUAUGAUCCGGAAAGCUGUCUGUGGCAUAGCUGUCAAGUGUCCCUUAUUUGAAGGGACAGUCCCUUAUUCCAGCGCCAUGUCCCGCUGCUGUCCCUUAUUGAUGGAUGUCCCUUAAAUGUCCCUUAAAUGAUGUCCCUUAAAUUUCAAAGGAAGCAGCUCUUCUCCCUCCCUCCCUGCCGGCCAGGGAGGAGGGAGGCUCCAACUGUGUUGCUUGGCUGUGUUGCUCACCCAAUAAGAAGUCUAAGAACGACUGCGGGGUGGAGCUUGCAUGCCUUGUGUGUGGCUAGUUAAUGCAAGCUGCGGGGGUUUUUGAAUGCUGGAUGCCAUUUUGUUGCACGUGCUGCUGCAAACUUUGCAGUGCAAAGCCAGGCCAGGGAGCCAUCUUAAGUUUAGGCUACAUAGGCCUUGUGAUGCAUGUGAUUCAGAUUCUAUUCAGUUGAACCUCUGGUUACAGAGUAGGUUGGACAGUGUUCUUGAAGCUACCAGCAUGAGUUUGACCAGACUGCAGGAGGACAGGAAGACUGGAGUGCCUGGAACAGGUGAGGCUGGAGGUCCCUUAUUUUGGCUGCUGGUCCCUUAUUUUCAAGGCUGCUGGCCCCUUAUUUUCAAAUCUGUAAGUUGACAGCUAUGGUCUGUGGACAAAUGCUGGCUCCCUUGGCCUGAAAGCGAGAUGAGUUUCACACCCCAAUCAAGGGCACCAACUUUUUCCUCACUGUAUUUGAUUAGGGAUUAAUGAAUCUGUGAAUUUUAGUUUCUCUCAGUCUCUUAUUUUUCAAAUCUUAAAUUCAGUUGUUCACACUUCCACAGCAAUUCACAGUUUUAUUCAUGCACCAGCAAUUUGGCAUGAAUUUAUCCAUAGGUGUGUAUAUGAGGUAGCAAAAAUUUAGAAGGUUAGCUGUGUUGGGGGGGAAAAAAGAGAAUUAGAUAAGUUCUCAUUAAAAUGCAAAAAAACCCCAACUAUUUUAUCCCCAUACCUUCUGUGGUUACUGCAUUUGAGUCUUUUUAUUUUGAUAAGGUUUUCCAGGGAUGUUUUUGUAACAUCCUCUUCUCACAACUACUGUGCCUAUCAUUUGUUAUUUCCAAAUGUUCAAGUUCAGUGAAAGUUUGACUAGAUGCUGAAGAUGCUCACAAAUGCCUCUAAUAGAUCUUGCAAGCUGCAGUCUACCGCUACAGUCUGUACAGUGCACUGCACGUAGUGUUUGCACCAUGUCAUGUUUCAGCUGCAGGGUACAAUUUACUUCAAGGGGGGCUCGCAAGUCUCUUAAUAGCAUCACUCCACAUUCAAAGUAAUAACUGAAAAGACAUGGAGUGCAAUUCAAAAGGGCAUCGCUGUGACUAAGUCUCACUUGUGAUACUGUAAAUACUGGAACAUUUUCUGAAUGUGUGAAAUAUUAGAUCAGUGUUGGAUAGAAUAUUCUAUUAAUUGAAAUUACACGUCCUUAUAUUUGUCCAAGCCUGCUUAAAAAUGCAAAACAUUUUGUACCAUCAAGGUUAUUCUGGGAGAGUUUCUGUGCACAUUAAAUUGAGGUUAAAAUGGUUGGUAAGUGCAGGGUUAUAUAGUAAUUGCACCACUGUUCCUGAAACCACAGAUUGCAUACAUUUGCCAAGUCUUCAGAGAGAUUUUUUAGUACAAAUGAGAAUUCAUAUGCAUUCUCGCCUUAAAUUAGAGCUAUCUGAAGGAAUGUAAUAGCAUUAGCAUUUAGGACACUGGUGAUAAAAUCAACCACUGAUAGCAAAUAAUUAUUACUGAACACCAUGCCACUGUUGUCUUCACACAAGAUUUGGCUUAUCACCAGCUCCGCCCCAAACACAUAUAUGAGCCCUCUCUUGCCAAGUCUAAGAUAAAGCUCAUGGGGAAGAAGUAAUGAAAGUGCUAGCCUACUGACUCCUUUGUCCUCUCAUUAUCAAAGGAGGAAGGAUGGAUUGAGAAGUUUGUGAAGGACAAACCAGUUAUAAAAUUCUACCAUGCUACCACGGUAUGCUAGCAGUUGCAGUCCAUGUGAAGCAAUCAUAAAUCACAUUUUCUGCUGUCAGGUCUGAUCUGACAGGAACAGAAGAACAAAGUGGCUGCAAUCUCCUCUUUGGGAGCAGGCAUGUUUGCACAUUCAUGCUAAGCCAUGAUUUGGUGUAGCGUUGUGUGUGAAUGUGGCUGUGGAAUCCAACAAGUCAACUUCCUCUGUGGAGGCAGGAAACAGAAGUAAAAGAUCAACAUACUCACACACACAAAAAUCACCUGCAUAAAACUUUCAGGGGGAGGGGAAUCACCCAAAGAUUAUUUUCUUUAUGAAGAGAGCAAAUGUUUGCAAAUUUCCCCCCUCUGCUUCAGUUCAUCUUUACAUACAUGGCACAGACAUAUGUAUUUGUCUUGAAACUUUGGUUGCUGUUUAAAAAAAAAUAUAGGGGGGGAUGCUAUGAUUUUUCCAAGCAUACAUUAACAAAAGAAGAAAGGGGGGGGGGAGCAAACAGUCUGUUACCAAUACUUACUACCAUUACAAUUUUUAUUGUGACAACUGAAGUUUAACAAAAACAUAGUUUAGCAAAGAAGAGAAAAAUAAGAUUAUAUCACAAUUCAGACUGCUGGGUUUCAUAACAGUAAGAAUUUCUAGAUUUUAUCUGAUGUCCUAUCAUUUUACUGCUAUUAAUUCAAGUUAAAUUACCUUUUAAUACUGCUGCUCAAGCAUUACAAUAUCGAGAUUCACCACUGCAAUAUUUUAUAAAUUCAAACUGUUGAAACUUUGUUGAUUACUGCUGCUGAUCUAGCAUAGCUGAUCCAUAGGCAGGUGGUAAUACUAUUUUAAAUGUGCAGUUAUAUCCUGCCCUUUAUGCUGCAUACCCUUAUCAACCUCAAUCUGCUAGCAUUUGCCAUGGCACCUCAUAAACAAAGGGAGAAAGUGCCCAUGGCUGAAUAUAGAUUGGUCUGCCUUAUAGAGCAGCUAUUCCCCAUGUCUGUGUCAUUGUUUCCAUUCAGCUGAAUUAAAAAGCAGAAGAGGAUGGUGCUUUCAAGAAAUGAAGAAGGAAGAGAGUGCGAUAUCCACAGGCGGAGUCUGGCUCCAUGUAACUCACUGUGAGCAUCUUAAUUGACGGGCAAGCAUGCCAAAGUUUCACAAGCACUAAUUUGUUAUGAAGCACGGGGUUUCACUUCCUUCAAAUUAGAGAUAAUUGGAAAACAUCAUCUAGGAAUCACAUACUAUUUACAGCCAGUAGCACCACAAAUUAAUGGACAUGUUCAACUUUACCUUGUGAACGAUUCUUGAAUUAUCAUGAACUGAAUGCUUAGAGAAGAACACCCAAAUGCCAUGGCUCCAAUCCAAGGACUUUUAUGCACCUAAAGCUGCAAUACUAUACACACUGAUCUGGACUGAAGUACCAUUGAACAGAACAAGAUUUACUCUCAGAGAAACAAGCCCUAGAUUGCAAUGUUUACCCUCUUGAAAUACACAGGGCCACUUAGUUGCAGCUAACUUCCUCCCCCCACCUCUCCCCAUAGUCAUUUCCCCCUCCCCAUAACAGAAAUGAAGCGUAACUCAACGAUGCAUUUGGACUGCAGUCCUUUAUACACUUACUUGAGAGUAAGUCCCUUUGAGAUUUACAUGGCUUACUUCUGUAUAGAAACAGACAGAAUUGCUCCAUUAGUCAUCUUCAAUGCACCAGACUCAAUUAUUUCUCUUGUAGGGCAAGUCAGUGGAUUAAUCACCACCUGCCUCCCAGUUUAAAAAACACAAGGGCUUAUAUUCUCCCUCUUGCCACCUUUAUGUAGCUUUAAUUGAAUCAGCAAGUAGGCCACAUCCACACCAUACAACUUCGAUACUACUUUUAACAGCCACAGUUUUCCCCGAAUAAUUAUGGCAGCUGUAAUUUGUUAAGGGUUCUGUGAGUUGUUAGGAGACCCCCUAGUCCCCUUGCAAAGCAGUUUAACAAUAAAGCCCUCUUUACAGCGAACUCUGGGAAUUAUAGCUGUGGAAUGGAAACAGGGGUUUCUUAACAACUCUCAGAACCCUUAACAAACUACAGCUCCCAGAAUUCUUUGGGUGGAGCUGUGGCUGUUAAAGUGGCAUUAUAGUGUUUUAAAUGCAUAGUGUGAAGGUGGCCUUAGAUUCCAUACACUAGACAGAUUCCCAUUUGCGGUUCCAUCUUAACCCAGCCUCCUAUCCCUGCUGAUAUAACAUGAAGUUUUAUCAUUAACCACAAGAUAAGCAGGAAGUAAGAACAUGGGCUGAUCUUGAAAGCAAUAAAGUUAAUUGAAAUUGCCAGGAUAUUUGUUGAAAGAGACUGAGUUGCAAUCGGGAGAACCUGGUCGUUCGGAUGGGCACUGAUGCGUAACAUAACAUUGUAUGGUGGUAUAUUCAAGUGCUGUAUGGAAUAAUUGAGGCAGCACUUAAAUUCCACAGUAGACAAUCAGUUUUUUUUGUGGUGUAUCCCCUGCCCUGCAUAUAUCCUUACAAAGACAACAAUUUAAAAAAUUGGGAUCUAAAUUCAAAGCACAGCCUAGAGUUGUUAAUAGAUUUCCACCCUCUUUCUCUCUAGCUUCUUUCCAGUGCAUGUGUUCAGCUUGCAAGGAAGGGCAGUCAAAAAUGAAAUGAGAUUUUUGCCACUAUUCUCACCCUGCUAAUUUGUUUUGAAAUACAAAAGCCACAUACACAUGGGAUGCUUAAUAUAUAACAAUGAAAAAUAAAUGACAUACAUUUUUCAUAAUGUUUUGGGAACCAGCAUAAUACCUAGCAGGGCCAACAUUUAUUUAAAGGAAUAAAUCUGUGGAGCCCCACUAGCAGAUUAUAUCAUCAAACAGAACAAGUUUAGACAUAAAAUAAAAAAUGUAAUUUAAAAUCAAAUAAUGUGGCCAUUAUUUUAGAAAUGGGAAGCAAACAAAUAUAAGGUCCAGAGGAUAAAUGGCUGAACUGAAAUGAAUUUGUUCAAGGUAAACAGACUAGCUAUGUAAUAGUAUGUAUAUGAUUGACUGGGUGUACCAGUGAAGAAAAAAUGAAUAUUGGCUUUAGCCGUUAUCAGGAGCUCCUAUUUCUGCGUCUGGGAUCAUCUCACAUUCCUGAUACAAUCCCUGUCCCCCAAAACCUGAAGUUUUCACAUGUAGAUAGAAUCAGAAGACCCUGUUUUACAAACCUUGCAUUAGAAACAUUAAUGCAUUAAUGCAAACUAAUGUAAUACAAAGCAUUUUAAGAGUCAGUGUGUUUAAACACUGGGAGACGGUACUUUUGUUUUACGAGCACACACAACAAAACAAAAUGAAAUCAGCAUACAAUUUAUUUCCUACUUGGGUGAAUGUUUAUGCACAAGCUAUUGUUUAACAGCACAGGCUGAAAGCCAGCCAGCUGCAAUGUAUUUUUCUCAGCAGUUGAUUUCACUCCAUGGAUGUGUGCACAGCGCUUGAUGCCUUUGGUGACAAAUGUGUCUUACGCCCCACAGCCAUGCAUGGUCCCAGUGUAAUUGGCAUAUACGUUACCCAACAUGGUUUAACAAUUUCUUUGUUAAAUACCUUUUUCUCUGUGCCGAUGUCUCUAAAUUGAAAUCAAUGAAGAGAAGCACAAGGGCACCAUAUGAGUUCUUAUGCUUGCAACAAGAUGCACCAGGCAUUCCAAAUGAUGCUAGAAGUUUAUAAAAUGUUUCUAGCUUAUUAUAUGGGAUGGUAAAAAAAUGUAGAAAUAUGAACCACCAAAACCAAAAUUCACAGUUCUAUGGCAGUUAUUUUACUUAGUGAGGAUAUUCGAUUGUUUCACAAUAAUCUACAUAUUUCUCCUCACAAAAACAACAGCCAAGCCUUGGUCAAAUAAUCACACAAUCAAACCAAACUGGCUGUCUCUCAUUAGGUGUUUGUAGAGAACAGAAGUCAUUAAGGUCGUUGAUGGCCGCUAAAUACUUCAAGUCAAUGGGAUUUGGGUCACCUCCCACUGGCCUAGUAGAAACACAUCUGUGAAGUUGGCUGAAGAGCAAUAGAGAUUUCAGACAUCUGACAAGAAACAUCUUUAAAUGUAUUUCAAGUGUCUGCUGUUGAUUUGGGAGGAUGCUAUUUCAGAAGGACAAGUGUAAUGGGUAUAUGUCUAUGGGGCUGUCCCUAAUGGUCACUUGUCAAACACAUUGAGGAGGGCAUACCCUUAAUGUAGUCUUUGCCCCAAGUGGGGAGAGUCCAAGACUGAAGGUCUGAAGGCAGGGGCGAGCAAUGCACUUCCUUUUUGUUUUUCAUGGUUGGACCAUUUCUGGUGAAGUUUGGACUGGUAGCAACAAUUCCCCGCUGUAAGGUUGGUGGGCCCCUCCUCAGAGACUGAUGGAAUAUGAUGUACUCCUGUGCGCUCUGGAGGAUUUUAUAGUGAGAAAACUGAUUAUCCGUUCAAAGCUCUGGUCAUACUACUCUGCAUUUUCUUCUCCUCAGUCUGUGGUAACCAAUGAAUGUGGCACAACGAAAAACAUGCAACAUCCUGAUGUCAGCCAUAUUGUGAAAUGCUAUUGGGGGGUGGGGUUGAGAAUGACAUGUAUGUGUGCCAUUUAUUUAUUUAUUUGCACUAGCUGCGAAUUUCUGGCGUUGUCUUCUCUUUAAAAGGAAUGCCUUCAGAUGUAGCUGGUACAGUUUGUAGGAAUUUGGAAGCGUUCCCAGGCACUAAUCUUAGUGAUGCUGUCAAAGUUUGAUGAUCCUGAUUCUCAUCGUGACUUUGCUAUACCCACAAUAUUCUUAAUGCAUUUUGAGGCAAUCUCCCAACAUUCCUGGAAAUUAUAUUUUUUUCCCUGCAUGCAAAUGAAAUGGAGAAUAUUGCAAUUGUUUUGUAGUAGGCACACUACUGUGUUGAGCACAGGUUGGCACAUGGUCAUUCACUGCUGAAACUUAACCGACUCUAAAAUGUACAUAUAUUUAAUGGCUGAGCCAUAGGCAGCUAUGAUUUGUCCCCAGCUACAUCAGUACCCUUGUGAGAAAAGGAGAGCAGGUCAACCAGAGUGCCCCCCCCACCCCCACCCCCCCGGUUUAUCCUCCUGUCCCAUGAACCUUUCACUGUCAGCUGGUGAAAGCAUUUUUUCUCCCAGACUACCUCUGCCAAACAGCCUGAAGCUCUAUUAGGUCUCUUUGAGAAUAUAUCAAGGUAAUGUGCAGUUUGACUUUUAGACAUGGGGUGAGUGAAAUAAUAGGUCUGAUGAACCAAAGUCAAAAGCUUGCUAAAAGUCUAAGAAAUUGUUCUUAGGACAAAAAAUGUUUUAAGAUAGAACUAGUUGCAUGCAAACAAUCAAACUCACAGGAUCAAUAGAGUAGAGAAAAUAAAACAGGUAAACAAAACACAUCAGUGAAACUGUUUCUUAGCAGCUACAAUUCUGCUUAAGCAAAGGUCUUACAGUUAGACUUCUUGAAAUAUUACUGUAAGUUGCAGCUCCCUCCAGCUAGCAAUAUUCCAGUGUCAACAUGUUCUUUUGUGUUUUUUUACCCUGAGAUCCACACCAUCUAAAAGUCAUCCCAAGUAAUAGGCUAAUUAUACCCUCUAGCUACCUUUGAUCAUAACAAGUUCUCACUCCUGUCAUCAACCAUGUUGCAGCAUUCUGCACUGGUCUUUCUCUGGCUUGAUUCAGAGCCCAAAACCUCCCAGAAUACCAAGCAGCCACUCUGGCUCCACUAUGCCAGGAAGGAUGCUUGGGAGCAAUCAUGUCAACUGCUCAUUUCAUCUCCAUAGCCAGACCAGAGCAAUGGGUGUGUGUAUGUGUGUCAUUGUCAGCAGCAGUACAUCAAGGCAACUGUUUUGUUUGGCUCUCAGUUCUGAAUUUCUGAAGAAGGCACAGAAAAGGCAAUAUUUGGAUUGGCCAUGGCGAUUUUAAAAGGCAUGCAUGUGAAGAAUUCACAGUAUAAAUGAGCGCAGAUACUGAGACUCCCUGCUUUUGCAACCUUAAUGUGAAUAUUCUGAACGGUGAGCUCUGCACACCUUGAAUGAAAUAAGAGGGGAAAGUGGGAAGCAGAAAUAAAGAUCAGAGAGUUCAUACCUAAAUGAUGAUCUGAUUCAUGGUCACAUUUAUGUGUUCCAGAAGAAGCUGAAAAUAUACAUCCCCUCUAUAUGUUGGUGCUUGGUUUCAUGAAUUCUAAACAAAGAUGCCUGUGUUGAUGACAAAGCUGCUUGAUUUUGCUUUCUGUCUGACUUAAAUGUAGGCAAAAUGUAAAAUAUUUGAUACUAAGUCUGACUACACUUUAAAGAGCUGAUUCUACUAGUUGAACUAAUAAUAUAUAUAUAUAUAUAUAUAUAUAUAUAUAUAUAUAUAUAUAUAUAUAUAUAUGGUGCUGACUAGAUUGACUUGACUGAUCAUAGCAAACUGAAUUGUAUUUUUGUAAGGCUCUUCAAGAGGCAGCCAAAUAAAUAGCUUUUUCCCUGCUGCAUGGUUUGCUGUUUGCUUAAGCAAAAAUCCAAUUUCUAGAGAAGACUCCACGAGGGCUAAAUUCCCUGCCAUUUACAAGUGUCCCAUUAGAGUAGCUUUCUAUAUGGAAAUAACAUUCCAAGACAAGGAGAGAAACACUAGGUCUGGGGUCCACUGUUCCUGAUGUAUUUUAUUAUUUCUUUUCCAUUUGAAGAGUAGAGCUGUGUUCCCAUGAGAAAGACACAAAAAAGGGGAGGGAGUAAUGUUUGAAUACAAAUGUCUCAAGGAACUGAAGCAUCUUUAAAAGUAAAAUCUCUUUCUUGGUAUGCAUCAAGGACAAGGAGAAAACUGACAGCUUCAGACUCAAGCUGCCUCCUGUUAAAAGCUUUUUAAAUUAGGGAUUCAAUGUAAAACUCCUGCUGGAAAAGCAUACAUGAGAGGUGCCGAGAUCUGGACUUGAUUACUGGUGCUUUCGUAUAUGUAGUGCAAUCAUUUAUUUGAAAACAAGUCCUUUAAAAAUAAAAUGUUGUGAUGGUAUGGCAGUUAGAUGUUCAUGGUUUAGCAGCAAAAAAGACACAUACGUAUGAGUUACCAAUGUUAUCGUGUGCCAAAAGCAAGUUAAAUAACAACAGCUUCCCUUGAAAAAGCAUGGAUGUGCAUUUAAUUUAGAGCUAAGACAAGAUGUAUGUAACAUCCAGUGUCUUCCAUCAUUGCAUAAUUAAUACUGAAGAAACAUGUUUUCACAAGUCUGUUGUGACUUUUUUUUAACAAUGCUGUCUGCUUAACACUGCAAGUCGCACUUAAUUGGAUGUGCUUUUUUAAAAACAUGUAAUUCUUUUUUCUAUCUUUUCUUCUUUUCUUUUCUGGUGAAGGAGUAACUCUACAGGCUUCUGGGAGCAAUUAAAAGAAGGAGGAGGGGAAAAAAAGUUCACAGCCCAAAGGCAUCCCCUAGCCUAGAAUUCUUAAAUGGCAUGUCCUUGCCAAACAGCCACCUGUGACAGAGGAAGUGGGCAAAUGGGUCCUGUUACUUAAACAUGCAGCAGCAUUCCACCAGCUUCAUUUUUCUUACAAUGGAUUUCUGGGCUAAGGAUAUUCAUUCAUUCAAAAAACAAAAAACGCAGCUUCAAAACCAUUGCACCAUCAAGUGCAUGAAGCCAAAUUCAUGGGCAGAGAAAUCCAAAAUGCUGGAGGGAGGAGGGUUCCCAUAUUUCAAGAGAUAAAAUCUGGACAGAAAAAGUUGUUGAGUUUUUUUAGGGCAAUCAUACAAUAACUGCUCCACUGCCGCCAAGGCAGAACCACCCACACCAGAGCCAGAACCAUCCGUGCACGGACACACACACACACACACACACACACAAACCCAACAACCCCAAAUCCAGGACAUUUGCUUUAAAAUGUAAAAUUUCACACACACACACCCCAGAUGGGUAUGUAGAACCCCCCAAAGAGGACAUGUUCGGAAAUUCCCAGAUGUAUGGCAACCCUAAUACCCAAGGCAGAUGGACUACCUUUUCCCUCUUUUAUUUUCAGUUCCACAUACAAGUAUUCUCUCUCUCUUAAACCCCUUUCCCCUCCUGUAGACACCGGGGGCGGGGGACUAAUUAAGCCAAUUCCAGGACUGGCAAUGUUUCUUCCUCAUUCAGGAGAAAUAUUAGGAUAAUGGAUGUGAUGUAGAUCCUUCCUCUCUCCAUCUGCCCCCACAGUCUCACUGGGAAAGCAUCCAAUGACAGAUCUCCCUCUCUGAGGGCAGAUCUCUUUCACAACUCUCUGAAAGGGAGAUCUAACAGAUCCUAUAGUCCAUCAGAUGCCAGCCUCAGAUGCUGAGUGAUUUCUAGGAAGUACUAAGGAUGACUGAGCUGAAACUUAACACUGUGUUUAAGACUGCUUUGAAUGCCUUCACCUACAUUUUGGCAUUGCAAAAUACUGGAACAUGGCUUCUUUCUUGAUGCUCCCCAUUAUGUACCAGAUCCAAGCAGCCUCUCCUGAAUUCAGUGGUGCAUCUCAAAUGUUGCAAAGUGGCCUCCUUUAUUCUCUUAUUCACCACCCAUUCUCACAACCAUGUCAGCCAAUUACACCCUGAGAUGAUCCUUACUUGAUGUGUAUCCAUAAAUGGUAGGUUCCUGAGUUUAGAUUUAUUUCACUAAAAUAAUUAUAUCCUACCCUUUGUCCCAAAGCUGCCCAAGGUGGCAAACAUCAGAAAGAUAAAACAAUGCAAAUUAAAAUAAUAUAAAACAUUUCAAAACAAUUUAUAAAGAUGUAGAACACAAGGAAGCAUUUAAACAUGUCCUCACAGUUGCUAAUUUCAAAGUUGCUGUGACCAGUAUCUUUCAGCCAUCAAAAGUGUAGGAAUACAGAAAUGUUCUUAAAUUUCUUUGGAAAAUCAACAAUGACAAAGACAGGCACAUCCCACUGGGGGGCAGGGCUGGUUCCACGAAUGUGCAAUACCACUGAAAAGGCCCAGUCAUGAGUCAACACUACCUGGGUAGCAGCCACCUCCAACAGGGCAACAGGGACUAUGGUGUUUUUAGGAUAUAUUGUUUCGUUUACAUAUAUUUACACCCUGAGAACAGAAUGGAAGGACUCAUAAUAUUAACACUUCAGGAUAUUGCUUUCUUAUUAGGUGUUGGGUUGUUUUGUUUUGUUUUGUUUUGUUUUGUAAGCCCACAAAAGCUAAAGCUUUGGAUCCAGCACACCAAGAAGGCAAGCCCCUCUCUCCACAGGUUCCAGUUUACCCAAAAACCACACACUCAAAAAAACUCAGCCUAUUGUUCUCUUUCCUAGGGUGACAAGGCUAGUUCAGCAGGUUCUUCUUUGAGAUUCUAAUACAGAAUCACAGGUCUGGAAGGGAUUCCUAUCCAGACCAACUCACCAAUCCCGUAGCUAUAUGGUAAUGAUGAAAGCAGGCAUGGAGUGUAAGGGCAAACCACACCAGCCCUCCUAAUGUUUAAAGGAAGAGUUCCAAUAGAGUUUGUUGUUGUUUAGUCGUUUAGUCAUGUCCAACUCUUCGUGACCCCAUGGACCAGAGCACGCCAGGCAGUUCUGUCUUCCACUGCCUCCCGCAGUUUGGUCAAACUCAUGCUGGUAGCUUCGAGAACACUAUCCAACCAUCUCGUCCUCUAUCGUCCCCUUCUCCUUGUGCCCUCCAUCUUUAGCUAUCUCCAAUAACCAGUGGUCUUUUUCUAGAAAAAGAGGUGCUGGAAUUCACCUCCUUUAUUCUCUUAUACAGUGGUACCUCGGGUUACAUACGCUUCAGGUUACAGACUCCGCUAACCCAGAAAUAGUACCUCGGGUUAAGAACUUUGCUUCAGGAUGAGAACAUAAAUUGUGCUCUGGCGGCAUGGUGGAAGCAGGAGGCCCCAUUAGCUAAAGUGGUGCUUCAGGUUAAGAACGGACCUCCAGAACGAAUUACUAAGUUCUUAACUCGAGGUACCACUGUAAUGGCAAUGGCACCCACCUGAGAGGCACCGGAACUGAUUUCCGGUGAGUUCCGGCUGAAAACAAGCCCUGCCAAUAACCCACAAGCUUAGGCAAACUAAAGUUUUUCAAAACUUAGAAUUCUUGAAGCAGAUUAUUUUAAAAUAGCAUUUGGAUAUGUCAUAUGCCACUUACUGGCAUAUCCUGAAACUUAUGCUUAAGGCAGUAAUAAUAAAUAAAGCAGUGUGUUCACCUCAUUCCAAAUACUUCAUUUUUUCAGAAUUUUAUAGUCAAUAGUUUAAACCUAUUUUAAGAACCCCUUGCAAAUAGCCCUUUUCAUGAUGACUUUUUGGAAAGGAUUAACAACGUUUUAAAUAUAGCUCAAAUAUGCACAAUGUUUCAAGAACUGUCAUUAAAACACAAGAGAGUGUUAUCCAAACGAUAUCAAAUCAACCACCAUGCCCUUAUUACUGAACUUUCUUGGCAAGUAUUAUGAAUUGGCUUCAGGUUGCUGCAUACAUACCCCAUCUGUACUGCUUCUGCUCAAUAACGCAUUCAAACUGCCUGUGAGUAUUAUGAGAUUUAAUAUCAGCUUGCUGCGGUUAAAGCAAUAAGUAAGCUAACUUCUUUACAGUUAAAUCUGGGCAGCAGUGACUUCCUAGUUAUUAACCACCCAGUGCUAUAAAUUCAGCCUGAGCUAUAUAUUAACUCACAGCUCCAGAAACAAGGAAGGAGUUCUUAGCACGCUUGUUUCUGUCAAGUCCAAUGCUAGUGAUUUUCUCAGGAGCAAAAUGGAUAGACUACAACAAUGUAGUGUGUAGCGUUCUUAGCUUACACAAUGGUAUGAAACUGAAACAAACAGAAUCAUGUAGUUGCCAAAAUGCUCUUUAAAAUACAAAGAUAUAUAAAGUAAUUGUGUAUGUGUGUCCAUUACUAUUGCUUAGCUGACAGCAAGACUUCUGUUAGCAGAUCAACAAGGGAAGAGCAAUUUCCAACCUUCCCCUCUAGCUAUCAACUUUCAGAUUUCAUAGCUAUCAACUUUCAGAUUUGAAAAUAAGGGAUCAGCAGCCUCGAAAAUAAGGGAUCAGCAGCCUCACUUGUCUCAGGGUCAGUCUACGGGAUAUCUAACAAUCCAGCGGGAAGCAGCUGGAAAUGGCGCUGGAAUAAGGGAAUUUCCCGCAAAAAAAGGGAAGGUUGACAGCUAUGUCCAUACCUGCCUCCUCCAUCUUCUCAGAAGUGUUCCCCAACCCUCUGAAGCAGAUUUGGAGAGGGUGUGAGGAGCUGUAAGGAGAAAAGGUACAGGUGGAAAUUACUUCCCUCUUCAUUCCACUGAUGUUACACCCCUGGAUACAACCGUUUUUCAUCGGAAUUAGAAAGAAAAGAAAAGAAAAGAAAAGAAAAGAAAAAAGCCAUUCAUGAAAGCAAUCAAGACUAAGGGUUCAUCCAGACUUCUGCUUGCCCCAUGUCUAGAAAGCACAGUUUUCCACUUCUCUCACCCCUUCCCUCAGGAAAACUUGCUAUGUAGUGCUGAAGCAGAGCAAACUUCAAUCCACGGAAAAUCCAAUUGACAUUUGCUCAGUGGAGGCUCAUGGGAACAAAUGAGUCCCGUGAAUGCAGCAGAACUCAGAUUCCCAUAAGCAGUCUCUAGAGCAGAGCACAGAUAUAAGUGAGGGUGUGCCCAAGAGGAAAUAAAUGGUUCUGGGUUACAACAAUCUUAAUAUUGUGAUACAAUAAUAUCUACAUACUGAUUCACGUAUACUGGCCAUGCUUUAGCAUCACUUCUACGUGACACUGCCAGAUGCUUCCCCCUCCCCUCAAAAUUAGAGGUAAUUCCAAAAGCAGGUUGCAAUGCGACUCCGCACUGAGUGUGUCUGUCUUCUCUGAAUAGGGACCAUAAUCUGUGCAUACAAAGGCAUCUAAGCACACUGUGAUAUUGUAGUACAUAAACUGCACAGCAGGUUGCUAUACACCACAUAAAAAUCCUAAGUCCUCAUUUCUGCAGUAUGGGUGAUACGGCAAGUUCUGUAUUUGACCACAAAUCUCCUUCAUUUUUGCCAGUAUAUGUGGAAUUGGAGAGGAUCAAUAAAGGGAAAAUCUCUCCACCCAGUUUUUUGACACCUGCCCUCAAGGUUACCGUUGACAAAAUCCCACUCAGUGUAGGCAAAGCCUUGAGACCAACAAUUGGUAAAUGUUUUGGGAUGCAUAGCAUGCUGCCAGUGCAUCUAUCCAACCGUGUAGAAAAUCCACAGGAUAUAAAAGAAAGCCAGCUAGGUGCACGCUGGCCUGCUAUUUUAAAACAGGUCCGCAGUACUUUUCUCACACAAUGCAGUUUGUCAUUGAACUAUAAAUUGCCUUUUCCUCAGUCACUCUCCAAUAUAUUAUAUAUAUUGUAAGAAGGCGUAAUAAUUUAUACAGGAGAAGCAAGGAACCAGGUGGUAAUGUGGAGCUUGUUUCACUUUAACCAAAAUGUGAGUAUAUAAUAUUUUCAAAGGCCCCAACCACUAAUUUUUAAUCUGUCCCCUCCCCCUCCAGCUGUUGACUGGAAGAUUUUCACAACUGUGGAUUGAUAGAAUUGCUUCAGACAUCACGUUUUUAUAAGGCUGAUGCUCAAAAGCAUUUAACAAAGUGUAAGGUGUGCAAGAACGCACAUAAAUAUAUGUCAAGAUUCAGUUUCCGCAUUUGUGUGAAACCCAAAGAAAUGAAAAGAUCUAUAUGUUUCCGAAUUCUUUACUUGCUUAAUAAAGUAAAAAAAAGGGGGGCAAGAGAUGUCAAUGCACAUCAUAUUUUAAAUAAUAUUUCAAUUUCUUGCUAUGAUUAAUGUGGAUCCGAUGGAACUUUUUUUAAAACAGCUUUACCAAGCUGUUUAUGGUCUGGCAUGCUGCCACAGAGUGAUCUAUAACCCCACACCUCACUAUUAUGCAAAUAUCCAUUUGGCAAGGAGACCUGAGACUUCAGAAUUUCUCUAAGGACAAUCAUAUCUUUCAAACUCCUUAAACCAAAUUAUAUUUGACAUUUAAUUUUAACCCACUUAUCCUGAAAAAUAACUUUUAAAACCCCUCCUGUGUAAAGCUGUUAAUGCAGCAAGUACAUUUUAUUUUAAUUCUCUCUCCCCCACCACACCGCCAUUUUGCUUUCUGCAGUUGGUGUCAGUGAAGUUAAUUCAGUGGUGAAAAGUAUAUCUUUUUAUUGUACUAUUGAGAACAUUUAAGUUAAAUGUUAAUUCUAUAUAAAGUAAGUCAAAAUGUAAAAACACAGGAAAAUUCAAGUUCAGGUUUAUUUUAAAAUCAAAAUAUGCCUGAAAAGAGCGUAUCAUAUGCCUUCAAAUAUGUUGUAUGGAAAAGUAGUGCUUCCAAAAAGGUUGAUUUUAAAACCUCAAGUAUAGAUGCUGGUCAUUGAAAGCAGGAAAGGUCAAUUUAUAAAGUAUUAUUUUAUUAAAGGAACACAGGGUGCUGUAACAAUUCUAGAGAACAUAGGAUGUGACCAGCUCCAGCUUCUCUCAUUUCACCAUAAGGUCACCCAAAUUCUCUCUUCUACACAGUGGUUAAAUUAUAGGACCUCCAUCUUCCUUUGUUGGUGCUUAACCUACUUGGUUCAUGCUUAUUUACAAGAAUCCCUGAAGCACUUUUAAGAUACAGGGUAGACCUACUUGGUCAAUUCUAUCCCUCAGAGAAGUACAAUCAUCUGAUGGGAAGAGAUGAUGUUGCUCAGGCUUGCCAUCUUCCAUGACCUGGGUGGGGUAGAUCUCAAGUGGGGAACCCACUCUACACAUUAAUGCUCCCCAUGUGAUUGAGAUCCCGGCACAAUCAGUAUUCUAAAUAAGGGGUGGGGAACCUCUUUUAGCCCGGACACCUUCUGGGGGUGCUGGAAGGUCCUGGCAAGCAAGAAGCAUUAUCAGAGGUCCAGGACAGAUUCCAGCCAGGCAAAAACACGUGAGGUGUGAAACGGGGCCACUGACUUCGGUUGGUCACCGUCAAGGGGCCUGGUAGGAAUUUUUUUCCACCUGGCAAAUUGGCACCAGCCAUUUGGUUUUUCACCUACCUUGUAGCAAAUCAUCACAACUUCCUCGGCAUUGGUGGUUAGGCAUUGGUAAGGGUAUUGUUAUGCAGAUGAGUGGGGGGGAGGAAGCGCCAUCACCUUCCCCCAUAUCGAAGGGUAGUCCGGUAAAGGAUUCCGGGGGGCGUUGCCCUGUCCGAAGCCUAUGGAGGUGUGGGCCUAAGGCACCCCCCCCGAGCAGUGACCCCGGGGGAUCUCCUAGUUGACGUGCCUCAGCAGGACUCCCCCUACUGGUGGUUAACCCUUGCCGGUCUUCUAGAAUCAGGCUGAAACCGGUUAGUCAAUAGGACCAAUGCCUAAGCCAAUACCGCUCAAUUCCUGUAAUCAAUAAAGUUGUGGUCUAAUUUUGCCCAUUAACCUAAAAUACUGGUGUCCUGUGUCUUUAUUUCCAUGAGGGAGGCGGGAACUCGCCACGCAAAGAGUUCCAAGGGGCAGAUAAAGAAGCAUUUUGGCUCUGGGCCUGAUGCUCCCCGUCCCUGUUGUAAAUCAUAUGGGGAGUCUACAUGCACAGAACAGGCCCCACAUUUCAGGCCUUCUCCAUUUGAUGCAUGGAAGGCAGCAGGGCUGGGCAAUGGGGUUGCAAGAAAAGGGGGCACAGCCAGUGAAUGUGGCCCUACUUGCCCUCCUCAUAAGAUGAAGGUGAGCACCUAUACAAGGCUGCAGCUUAAUGUCCUUGACACCAAAGAAAAGCAAUGUGGUAUUUUGCUUGAUGUGGACCAAAUUGUAUUAGACUAAAAACCCUUUCCACCUGUCUGCAGUGCCAUGUCUGCGGGGGUGACAAGGAGGCACCCCGUGGGGGCUCACGGUGGCACAAGCAGCCAUCGUGCCGCUGCAGCUGCAUGUGGAGGAUCCUCCGUUCGUGAGCAGAGGAUCCCGGCACCGUCCGUACAACAAUGGUGCGGCAGCGCCCGCAAACUGCUAUGUACAGCGCAUGUGCGGCACUGCUACGUACGGUGCAUGCAUUGUAUGCAGUGACACCACACAUGCGCCCUACAUAGCGAUGCCCAGGGUGUCACGACACCUUUGUUCGCCCCUGUGGACAAGGCUGGAUUUAUCUCUCUUUCCUCUUGGGCUCCUGUUUACGUAAUGAACAACUUUAACUACCCUUGCUUUAUCAAUGAGUAGAGCAGGACUGUGCUUCUGAUUGUCCCAUGUAUCUAGUUUGGCCUGAGUCAUUAUUCUUAAGAACAAUUAAAAGGCCCCAUGUUUAUGCCUAAGCAAGCAAUCCUUUUACUUCAAAUGUGAAAAACCCAAAGGGGGGGGGGACACCACAUACCAUCAUGCCACUUUGAUAUACAUUGGUGCUAGUUAUUAUAAGGGUAAGAAAUAAAACAAGCACAAUGAUUUACUUUUAAAUGCAUGGAUUUAAUAAUCUUUGAAUAUAUCAAGAGCAUGCUUGUGAACCUUCAUAAACACUGCCAACCUGCUGUUGAAACACUGCAUAUGCCUGCACACUUGCAUUUAAUAUGCUGCUUAUGCAGGUAUAAAUGUGUUCAGGAAACAGAGACCUCUCCAGGCCCUGUAGGGAAUAGCAGUGUUUGGUGUUAUGUUUGCAUCAGCUCUUAUCGAUCACAUAUAUAAAACUGUCCUUCACCAGGUUCCCGGCAACAGCCCUGAGUACCUUGCACCUUAUAUAAACUUAAGAUGGCAGGGCCAAGCCUAGUUUUGCAAAAACCUUUUGCAGCUGGAAGUGGAUAUGAAGCUUGCAUCCAAGGGAAAUGUCAAGAUUUCAAAUUAGCCUUCUUUUCAAGUCAGAAAAGAAAGCCAGAAAGAAAAUAAUUCAUGUAUUCAUGAUAACCUUUUCAGUAACCUAUAAUAUCCACUUUAGCUCUUUAUCUGAGUUGUUCCCUUUUUUUGAUAGAUGCUUGUGACCCAGAAUCAAUCCACCCACCCACCCACCCAUCCAACACUGAGUGAUGUUGUGUCAUGAACCUCAAAUAGUGUAGGAUAUUUUGUAAGGAUCACAGUGCCUUACAGGUAUCAGCAAAGGCUUGGAAACAGUAGUCGAAAACCCUUAAGCAAUCAAAGACUGUGGAGGGAAACCUUUGGUUUUCUACAUUGAUGUUUUUGCUGCUCUGCUUAAACCGAGGCAACGUGCUCACUUUGUAACUGCAAUAUUUUUGGUUAAUUCUACUACCGUCCUUGAGACACCUCGCAAACAUACACUUCUAGUUAUAUUGUUAUAUACGCAUUGCUUACAAUGAGCAUCUUCACAAGGAUGCAUCAUUUUAAAUAAUAUAAUACUUUUGUUCAAUCCACGUUAGACAAUGCUAUUGUAAGCUUCAGCUGGUAGAAAAUGUUGCAGCCCAGCUUCUGUUAAAUGUUAGUUACUGAGUAAUCCGUUUGCCACUGCUUUCGAUCCAUAGGUAACACUGGGGAGGGGGAAAGAGCACUAAGAAGACAGAAUGCAUUUUGAGGGGGCAAUAUUAUUCCUGAGAUGAUUUCUAAAAAAUAAUUGUGCUUCUCACAUUGAUGUCUGCUCUUCUAAACAUGCUGGGAUGUGUCCAAAAAUGUCCCUAGAAACUGAGAUCCACUAAGCCAUGGUUCUUAACAUGGGUCACACCCCCCACAGGGGGGCAAUUUGAGAAUGGGUUUAUUAACAGUUAAUGGCAUUUAGCCUUCCUCCACGUGAAUAGGAGUUCACUUUUUGAAUAAUUAUUAUUAUAUGUCACGGGGGGGGGGCGUGUCAGGAUUUUAGAGAUGCUUAGGUGGACAUGGCCAAAAAAAGAUUGGGAACCACUGCUGGAAGAAAAAGGGGAAAAGGGAGGGCAGGCAAUUCUUGCCAAUUGCCCCUGCAAAAUCAUCAUACCACCUCCCACACUGUUCUAGUUAGUUACCAAACUUUCUGGAACUAUCCUCCUGGAAUUUUUUGGAAAGAAGAUUUUUGUGUGUGGUAAUUGUUCCACCUUGGAUGCGUGGAACUAUUUCCAUAGCUGUUUGGAUUAAAUGUGUGUCCCCCCCACACCAUUUCACACUGAUUUGAUGACUGAAAAAUGCUGCUAGCAGAAGCAAUAGCAAACCAAUUCCUAGUUCAAAUAUCUCUGCCCUGAACUUGCAGUAGAUGGCUUUCAUUAACUCAGUAUUCACACUGUCUCACUGUGCACAACUCAUCCACCCUUGAGCUAAAUUGCCAGGGCUGGUUGUUGUUAAGUAUUAUGAAAGACAGAGGCUCUUUGGGUAGGUGGUUCCUAUAUACGUUCAGGAGAUAGGCAAGUUACCCUUUAUAGCUAAGGUCACACUCACUCUGAAGGAGCAGUUACGGAGAUUGGGGUUACUCCUGAAUACAUCUCUGUCAUGAGAGGCUCAAGUGUCCUAAAAAUACAUUUUACUACCUCUGUCUGAUUUGCCAGCUAGGGCCAUUCCUGGACAGGGAGAGCCAGACCACUGUAGUCAAUGUGCUGGUAGCCUUGAGGCUGGAUUCCUGUAAUGUUCUCAGUGAGAGGCUGUCCUUGGGCUUGGAUUGGAAGCUCUGGUGAGGGCACAUGGCUGAGAACAUCUGCACUGGCAGUCCAUCCACUAUUGAGCCAGGUUCAGGUCCUUGUAUUAAUUUACAAAGACCUGAACAACUUAGGUCCCAGGUAUCACCUGAAUCUUUAUAUCCCAACUUGAUCAUCAAGAUCGUCUACCAAAAACUUUAAUGCUGCCAAGCUUAUGCAGGCAAUUAAGAUCUUUCUGCAAUAGAUAGCUGAUGAUCUCCAAUAUUAAUUCCCCCCCAAGGUUUUUGUUCUGUAAAUGUGUGGUUGUAAACUGCUUUGCUUUUUUAUGAAACGGUGAUACCCAAACAUUUUUUAGAAAUAAAAGAAAUAUAAAUGGCUAUGAUGAAUGGGAAAUACUUUGGAACUCUAAUACUGUGGUACCUCGGGUUACAGACUUCAGGUUACAGACGCUUCAGGUUACAGACUCCGCUAACCCAGAAAUAGUACCGUUAAGAACUUUGCUUCAGGAUGAGAACAGAAAUUGUGUGGCAGUGGCAUGACGGCAGCAGAAGGCCCCAUUAGCUAAAGUGGUACCUCAGGUUAAGAACAGUUUCAGGUUAAGAACGGCCCUCCGGAACAAAUUAAGUUCUUAACCCGAGGUACCACUGUAUAGGAACAUCACCUCUUCAUCUCAAAAGCCUUAUUGGUUUUGUUAUCACUCCUUAUGAAUGCUUGCAAAAUCCAAAUGGCAUAGGCUCCCAUUCUGAAGAGAGAGAGAGAGAAAUGAAUGGCAGGUGGGAGCCUUUGUUCCCAGACAGACAUGCAGACUGGGAGAGUAUCCCAGCUCACAGGCAGGGAGGUAGGCUGGCUGCAGAAGUUAAAAUCACACUUCUGAGUAUGCUCAGAACUGUUGCAGACAAUUUUGCAUAUGGAUUGACCCACUGGAUAGCAUAUAAAAACAAAAAAGGAGUCAAUGAAAUAAAAAAUACACAGGUGAAAGAAGAAGUGAUGUGACUGGAAUAUGCUGUCCUGAUGCUAAUUCCAAAUAUUAAACUGCAUGAUAAGCCCAUCAUUAGAGCUAAGCAAAUAAUUCACAGUGAAUAAUUUAUUCAACAAACUCUGCUUCUUUUUUUCCUGUAUACACAAUGUCCGUGAGUAGAUUGCAAUUUCCCUGAAUUUAUUCAUGAUUCACUUUUACGCAAAUGCUUGUGAAUCUGUUUUUUUAAACUCAAGGGCUGUCCAUGAGCAAGUCUGAGUAUUAUGAAUUGGAGUGUUGCUGGUUAUGAAGAGAGAUACUAACUGGACUUAUUUCUUCUAGUUUUCAAUUAAAGUAAUUUGCAUUUAAAAAUACAAACUAAAGUUAGAAGCAACUAAUUAGACUGGGAAUCCUACUUAACUCAGGUGCUUCAUUUAGGUUGCAGUACUUAAUAUUAAGGGCCCAAAAUAUAAGGGUUAUUAUUGUUUUAUUUUUGUUUAGCUAAUUCAACAUCUCAUAGAACCUCCUAGUGGUGCACCAAUAAAACUGCUAGCACAUUUACAAAGCUAAGCAGCAUCUGGUAGAGUUUCAAAUUAGAUGGGAGACUACAUGUAGAGAUUCCUGGGUUGCUGGGGUUUGGAUUAGAUGACACUUGGGGUGCCUUUCAACUCUAUGAUUCUGUAAGUCUUACCAGUGUUUGAGCCUAAAUUCUUACUUGUUUGGGAAGGCAUGGGUAAUUGUAAUCUAUGUAGAAAAAAUGUUUUCUGGAACAUUUACUACCUUCUGUCAGCUUCUAGAGAGAAAUGAAUCUUAGAAUCCUAGAACUGUAGAGUGUGAAGGAACCCCCAAGUCCAACCUCUGGCAAUUGGAAUUGUCACACAAAAGCAAUUACCAAGUCUGUUUCCUUAUUCAGAUCCACCUGAAGUCAAAGAACCUGGUAGAGAUAGAUAGCUCAGAUGGUUAGAGUGUAGUGCUGAUGACACCAAGGUUGCAGGUUCAUUCCCCGUAUGGAAUAGCUGCAUAUUCUUGCACUGUAGAGGGUUGGACUAGAUCAGCCUUUCUCUCUUUUUUUAAAAUAAUAUUUAUUAGUAGUUUUCAGAAUUAUAAGAAGAAGAAGAAAACAUUAAAAAACAACACUAUAAUAGACAAAAAAAGGGAAAAAAAACAAAAACCAAUAGAACAAUACAACAAAAAGAUAAAAAGAAAAAAACAACAACACAAAUCCCAAAUUACGUAUCUAAAACUUCCAUUUGCUUGUUUCAUUGACUUCCUCACACCUCCCUUUUUGUAUUCUAGUUUAAUUAGUUAUUUCAGCAAAUUCUUUCCAUCUUUCUCAAUUUUUGUUAAAAAAAUUAUCCUAACCUAAUUUAAUCUAAUAAUUAACUCAACCAAUCCUUUCCAUCUUUCCCCGUAUUCUAUUAUUCACAUUACCUUAAUUAAUUUAACCUUAUCUUACCCUAAAACACCUUAAAGCUUGAAUCUUAGUUAUCAAAUAUACAUUACUCCUGAUAUCAUUUCUGCUAAAGUCAUAUAGUUUCAUUCCAACAUUUUCCCUAAUAUUCAUUAAUUUUUAGCCAAUUCCCCAAAUAGAAAAUUUUCUUUAUAAAUUUUCUUCCAAUCUUCAUCCAACGUCCCUUCUUCCUGGUCUCGGAUCGUGUCAGUCCUUACUGUCCAUUCCAUCUAGUCCAUCAACCUGGAAGCCUUAUGUCCGAGGCCCUUAAGUCUCUUCCAUGUCCCUUCUGCAAUUCUUCUUCUUCUUGUUUAUACUUGCCCUUUUCCUUGUCUUUUGUUGGUCUCUUUCUUAGUUUCUUUCCUUUCUCAUUGAGGGGUAGGCCUCUGGGGGAUUCCAAGCCAAAAUUGUCUCCAUCUCCCUUCAUCAAACCCGCCCAUUCCCCACAGUCCCACUCCCCACAAUCCUCAAUAUAGUCCAAAAAGUAUUUAAAAACAUAUUCCAAGGUCUCUCCAACGUUGGGAACCUCCUCAACUCCAGAUGCCCCCUGGCCCACCCCAACUUCAAUCUUCAAUGACAGCGGCUCAUACUCCUGUAGGGCCUCGGGACUCUCCAUUUGUAUUAUUUGGGGUGCAACCGCGUCCUCCUCCAUUAUCUUCUGCACUUGCCUAGUCAGUACAGAUUCAUGAGUUGGUCCCUGGAUAAUUUCUGUAUCAAUAUUCCCUGUUUGCCCACAGUUAUUAACUGCAACAGUCAAAUCCAUUUUCUCAUUCAUCAAGUCCAUCUUCUCAUGCAUCUGUUCCAGCAGGGCACUUGUCUUGCAUAAGGCAAGCACCCGUUCUUCUUUCCAACUCAUCUUUAGUCAAGGUCAGAAAAGCCUGUUCCCACGGUCUUAAUCUCACAUCUGUUGAGCCCUCAAAUGUACUGCAGCAACAAUUUGACAAGCUCCCUCUAGAGGAGGCAAUUUCUAUUUGUAGCUAUUUUUUUUUUUUAGGCAAGUCCAACAAAGGAAAAUUACUUUCGUUUUUCAGAUAUUUUGUUUCUUUAAGAUGCAAAAGGCAACAUUGGAAUCAGCUUGCUUCUCUUCUUUAGCUAUCUGUCAAAAUAUUCCAUUGACAGUCAAUGAACCUCUCCAACAAUUUCUGUCUCUGACACCCCGUUCCCAGGUUAGAGAUGGUGGAAACUUAUCCUUCUUCACUCCCUCUCCUGCUAGGGUUCCCCCCCUUUUCUCCUGCUUCCAAGAGGGUUUCAGUAAUUCUAAAUGAAGGAAAUUUAGACUUUUUUUACAGCUUUCCAGGCUUUAGCUUACAAAGUUUUUGCUUUAGUCUAUAUACAAAAAGCGGAAGGCAGACUUCCUGUUUUGAACCUUCUUGCUUCGUUGCCAAAUUAAGAAAUUUCUUGAUCCAAUUUUCCGUUUCUACUCACGGGUACUUGUUUUAAAUCCAAUUGUCCACAGGAAAAAGUCAGCGCUCUCCAGCAAUGGCUGUGCGGCUUCACUCCGUGAAAGUAGCAGUCAGUUCGCAGCACCGCGCUUCUCACCCCACUUCGCUCCGGAGCCCCUAAAUGGGAUUCCCUGCGAGUAGGGGGGCGCUCCUGGUGCCCUGCCGAACCCCACGUUCCCAGGCUUCCUCUGCCUGGGAUUUCUAGCGGGUCCCCACCUUCGCCGCGGCGGGAAGACCCAGUUUCCACGGAGCCCGUUCCUCCGAACGGAGGAACUCUGCCAUUCACCGAUGCCGCUGACCCGGAAGUCCCUACAUCAGCCUUUCUCAAUCUGUGGGUCCCAGAUGUUGUUGAACUAUAACUCCCAUCAACCCUAGCUAGCAAGGCCAGAGCUCAGGGAUGAUGGGAGUUGUAGUCCAACAACAUCUGGGGAUCCACAGGUUGAGAACUGCUGGACUAGAUGAUCCUAAAGUCCCUUCUAACUCAGGUCUCUGAUUCUCUGACUCAAAUGUUCAUCUAGCAAACCCAAGUUAUAUUAAGCAAUAAGACAGCAAUAUGUCCUCCAACAUUACUACUGUGUACAUCUGGAAUGAUCCUUCUAUUGGUUCUUUAUAUCUAAAGCUGGCAAAUGGUGAGAUGCGUAGAGAUUCAAUGGAGAUCUCUCUUUCUCUCUCUGCUGUAGGUCAUGUACUUUACAUGCCAAAGGCAAGUUUUAAAAGGAGGAGGUAGCAGGUACACCAUCUGCCUGAGAUCCUGGAGAGCAGAUGGUAGAGUAGAUGACACUGCGUUAAAUGGACCAAAGAUACAAGGCAGCUUCCUAUAUUAGUCUAAAUGUCCUAGAAGGUGAAUUGUGCUUUUCUUUCUAAAAAAAAAGGUCUGUCUUUUACAUUUCUGAUUUAAAUGAAUUUUAUUCUUCUCAUUGAGUUGUGCCUACUGAUGUCCAGUGAUUGAAUACUUUUGUUUUUAUUCAGCAGACUUUCAUCACCAGAAUGAGGAAGAAAGGCAUUUUUCAUAUAGUCAGCCUCAUCCCUGAAUCCCCAUCACCCAAUCCUCUACAGACUGUUGGAGGAACCUUCAUAACACAGCAAGGGGGUGGUUCAAGGAGGGUGGGCAAAUUGGUGAAAAUAGCCUUGCUCCCUCUGCUGGAUCAAGAAGCCUUCUAUAGUGGACAAACAAUAUAUCAGAUAUAAUCCAUUAAGCUCAUCAAGGCUUUCUUUCUUUCUUUCUUUCUUUCUUUCUUUCUUUCUUUCUUUCUUCUGGUUUAAGAAAUUACUUUCUACUUUCACAACUAUUUUUAAAGUACCAAAAAUUAUAAUGAAAAUUGCUUCAAAUGUUACAAAUGUGGAAUUACAUUUUAGUCCCUAAUGUGUGAAAAGAUUCCAAUACUCUUCUUUAAUUGAUUUCUUCAAAUAUUUAAUACUGCAAAUUUGGCACAACUAUGCUGAUUAACUUUGUCCAACUCAAAUGGGAUCUUAUAGAUUCUAUCAGAGAUUAUUCAAAUUUCAACUCGUGUCAAGCCCACAUUACCUAACUAAUCUAACAUUUAUAUAUUUUCAUAUAUAUUCCUAACCUUAUUUUUCAGAAGCCAGAAGAAGAAAACCUUUUCAACACUCUGCAGCAUCACAUCUAUGAAUGAUGCAUAAAUCAUUUAACACUUAUUUUCAGGGUAUAUUAUCUCCUGCCAACUCAUUUAUUCUCAUGCUGAUAAUCUUGCCUUAAAAGUCUAGUGUUCUGAGGUACUAAAGCAUUUCUGGAAGCAAUCACAUUUGUGGUAAUUAGUCAGCUGAAUAGUCAUGAGGAAUGGGAUACACUUCUUCAUCCUGUCAAUUCAGAGCUCCAAAUUGUUACCACAAACAGAUACCUUAUCUCACUCUUGUUGGAUGCCAUAAAUACGAAUUUAGAAAGAUAAUCUUUAGCUACUAUUUCCUAUAAAUUGCUUCACUGGGUUGAACACCACUACUAAUGUAUAACAGACACAACUAAACACAUAAUUAAUCAUAUACAGAAUGAGUCAUAUACCGAGUAGUUACAUUGAUUUCAAUGGGUCAGAUAUAGUAUGGCUAAGAGUGGAUAUCUAUCAAGGCUUAUAUCAUGAUUUCCACUCCCACCAGCAGAAAACGCAAUAGGGGACUUUCCCCUGAUUCUCCCUCCCACAAACAACAGCACAUGUUUCAGGAGACUGGGGGUUCUUUUGGCUCAGUGGGGAGGUGUAGCACUGGGGACUUCAGGAUGAAUUGACAAAAUAUAAAACACCAAGUGGCACUCAAGCAAUAAAAAGAACAAUUUUCUUGCGGCAUAAGCUUUCAUAGACCACUUCAUCAGAUGCAUGAAGGAUUUGCUUAAAUUGGCAGACAUAUAGACAUAUGGUGAGGGCAAGGGAAUGGAAACAAGUGAGGUAAGAGCAAAAUGAAUCACAGAAUUGUAUUAAUGCUGUCCUGUACAGGGAUCAAACCUGCAACACUGGUGUUAUCAGCCACCACACUAGCCAACUGAGCUAUCGCUAAAGAUAGUGACAUCUACAUAAAAGCAAAGCAACUACAGUGUCAGUGUGAUGUAGGUGUCAAAACUAACAUCAUGGCAUUAAUAACCUAAAUCAGAAUCACAAUCACUCAAAUAAGAAAUUUGAGUAAACUUAAUUUGGUUCCAACAUGAUACAUAUUACUGACCCAGCUUUUAUUAUCUGUAAAGGGACGGCUACAUGUUUGUUAAUGGGUUAGGGAACACUGCGCCCUGCAACCCCCACUUCAUUCACCCCUGUUCCAAGAAUGGAUCAAUCGUUAUUCUCCAAAUUUGUUGAGGAACUGAAUUAUACAUCACAUAGAAAUACAAGCAGCAAGGGCCAUAAAUUUUCCAGGAGUUUGAACCAUUUAUAUGCCCUGCAGCAUGAACUAUGACCUUCUCUUGUAUAAGACCAUCUACAAAAUGUUCCAAGUAAAUCAGGUGCAGAAGAAAUAUGAUUACUGAGCAAUCAAAUGUUAACCUCCAAGCUUGGAAUCAGAAAACUUGAAGAAAGUUUGGGGCUUUUUUUUAUUUUUGAUCCUGAAAUCAUGAUCAGUCAGCACAUUUAAAUCAGGAUAUGAAUCUGUUUAAACCAAUGUGUGGAAUCUAUACAUUUUAUAAAUUGUAGGGAUCUUCUUUAAAAAUUAAUUUGGUGAGAAAUCUUAUUUGUGCCCAGAAAAAUUACACAACCAAGCUGCUGAUGAAAACAAACUCUCAGUUUGAAAGAACGUUACUAUAGUAGCUGCAAUCAUCAUAGUCUAAAAUCCACAAAUGUUUUAGCUUACUAGAAGAGGGCAAUGCAUUACAUUCUGUGCAGGGAUAUAGCCACAAUUCAGCUUCCUCCACCCACCCAACACUAUGGCUCAGGAGCACUACUGCAGCCAGCUGAGAUUCGUAAGCCCAUGUCAUUCCUCCUUUAUCCUCUUUGGCCUUUUGGGCAUCUGACCAGCCGACCCUCCAUUGCAGUGCAGAAUUACAGCUGCUUUGGGGCCUCGUAGGAAUUGUUUGCCUGUCCACAAAUUGGCCAAGUUGGCCAGGAGCUUUUGUGUAUGCAUGUCUCCUCUGCACUGGAAGCUGAAGGCCAGUAAGAACGUAGGAGUGGCUGUUGUUAAAUAGGUUAAUUGGUCACAUUGUCUGAAAGGAAAGUGCACCUUUGAAGGUGAGGGGCAUGUAUCUCUGGGUUCGGUGCCCUUAGCCUCAAUAACAUCCCAUAUCCAAGCUACCUGACCACACCAACCCAGUAAGUAGGUAGGUUGGGAAGGAAGGCCUCCCUACUCACUAGAAGACAAGGCUCAGACCUUGGGGUUAUGCCUCACCAGACACCUUACCAUGAUCAGCACUGGGCUCACGGCCACAACAAAGAUUAACUUCCUGCACUUCUCAUUACCCCCAGCAGAUGUUAUUAAUAAAAGCUGGUCCCAAGUCUUAUGGGUCCGGUCACAAAAUGGCCUGCAAAGAAAGAUGUUGCACUAUGCCUAGUAUUGCAUGGUAAAAGUGUUUGACUCAGUUCACCAGACACUAAUCCAAGGGGCAGGCGGAGGUUGACCACUGAAGACUGAUCCAAAAAUGCAUUCCUUUUUUUCUUAGGGAUGCAUCAGUUGGGUGAAACAACUGCAAACAUUCCUGAGUAUGUUUUCAUUCUUUGUAUAUCACAUUGUUGUUUUAUUGCUAUGGCCAAUGGCUGACGCAAAGAAAGGUUCAUUCAGUCCUGAGUAUGACUGAUUAUCUGGAUCGAUGGUGGUCUGGGUUCAUCAACAAUUCUUUCCUUGGGUAAAAUGGGUCUUAAGGCUAGUACUGUUAGGAACGAUACUGGUUACUUCUGUCUUAAUUGGAAGUGUGUGUUUCAAACAAUCCUCGUGCAUCUUCUUUUUACCAGGCCUUACAAUACCUGUAUAGACAUCCAUCUUUUUCAAUUUAAUGGAAUAUGCAUGAAUAGGUCCAUUUGUAUUUCUCUGCACAUCAAAGACUUGCUUACCAAACAAGCUAAUCAAUUUAUCAGACCGUUUUAAUUAGUAAGAUGAAUGUGACUAGUCUGGCUGUGCACUUGUUUUAUCAAUUAUGUGACAUUAGUGGGAAUACAACAUGACACUGAUAUUGAAAUUACAACAUUAACCAGCUAUACAAACUAAAACCUAGUCCUUAGAAAUUCUCAUGCUAACUGAAUAUUACUCACAGAGAACUGGGAAAAUGAUACUAGCAAAUUGCAACAAUAACAUUUUCAGUAACAAUGGAAAGAUGGAUGGGGACUUCAAAAAUAUAAAACUGAAUGUAAAAUGUUCCUGCAUUUAUGAAAUAAUAAAAAGCACACAAUUUUUUAUCAAAGUUGAUAGUGUUCAUGCUAAAUCAAACAUGACAGUGGAGGUUGUAUUUUACUGACAUGCUCUCUGUUAAUGUGCAAAAGAUAGCUCAGUUGGUAGAGCAUGAGACUUUUAAUCUCAGGGUCUUGGGUUUGAGCCCCUAGUUGGGCAAAAGGGUCCCUGCAUUGCAGGGGGCUGGGCUGGAAGACCCUCAUGGUCUUCUCCAGCUCUAUGAUUCUGUGAUUACCGUAUUUUUUGCUCUAUAAGACUCACUUUUUCCCUCCUAAAAAGUAAGGGGAAAUGUGUGUGCGUCUUAUGGAGCGAAUGCAGGCUUCGCAACUAUCCCAGGAGCCAGAACAGCAAGAGGGAUCGCUGCUUUCGCUGCACAGCGAUCCCUCUUGCUGUUCUGGCUUCUGGGAUUCAGAAUAUUUUUUUCUUGUUUUCCUCCUCCAAAGACUAGGUGCGUCUUAUGGUCUGGUGCGUCUUAUAGAGCGAAAAAUACGGUAUACCUCUUGCUUUUAUAUGAUGAUACCACAAGGUUUGUGGGGGGAGGGUUGGUUGGUUUGCUUUUUGUCGUGGUGGAUUCUGCAAUGUUCCUGUUUUAAAAUCCAAAAAUUACAAAAUGUUUUUGACCAUUGCUGGCUUCACAUAAUAAAAUAUGAAGUUUUGGGCCAGGGGUUGUUUAAGCUUCCCUGCCUUGCAGGGAAACAGCUGAAAAGUCCUGCUGAAAUAUAAUGCUGAUAGGAUCUGUCACAGAGUGUUGACAAACACAGAUACCAUGAGAAAAGUGGAAGGUUUAGUUAACAACGGAAAAAUCCUCACACAUGAGAUAGGGACAAGAGGAGCAAAAUGAUAUAUAUAUAUUUUGAAAUAGCAAAAGUGAAUGAGCAAGGUGGGGUGAGGAAGAACAACAGGGUGAUGGAGUGGCCAGUCCAGUGCAGAGGGGACAUCUUGCCCAGGAUCCUCUCCAACUUGGAAGCACCAUUGUUUACUAUCCUCCUUCAGCUGAAAAUUAAGCUAAUCUAUGCACAGGUAAGUACCAAGAUAUGUCUUCCCUCCCAGUUUGUAAGUGCGUUUUUAAAAAAUAAAAUAAAAUAAAGUCAGCUGAUCUAAAAGAGCAAGUCUAGAAUGCAUGCCUAGCCAGCAAUAUUCUGAGGGGAAUUUAAACUGGUAGGUUGUAAUCCAAGGGGGCAACAGCCCAUUUGCAAUCACUCCCAUGUACAACACAAAUUCAGAUAAUUUGCAAAUGAAGCCAGCAUUCUGAAAUAUUUAAAAUGUGCAUAUCAGUGCAGAUUUAAUAUCAAUGAGCUAAAUUGGCAGGCUCCACUAUUUCUCUCCCUCUUGCAAACACCACAUUUUUAUCAAUGACCUAUAGCAAGUUGUUCCGCCUCUUGGUGUUGACAGUAUAGUACCCUUUGGGAUAAGAUCAUUUUUCCAUGAUGAUAAUAAUAGCAAUAAAACUAAUAAUAAUACUAAAAGAAAUGCGUAUUAAGAACCAAGCUUGUAAGCAACUUAUCCAGAUGGCUUAACUAAGGAGUUUUAUAAAAAGCUUCUCUAGUCCUUGGUGAACUCUUAUAUUAGCUAGCUUCGAGGGCUUUAGAUAAUAAUUAUUUCAUUACCGGUCUGGCUCUCUUUAUACAAACAGCUUAGCUGUUUAACCAAACAAAGAGUCAAAGAUGCUGAAGUGGCAAUGUAGGCUUGGCAUUUAUCAAGUGAAAUCUAUAAAGGAGGAAGAAGAUUAAUAUUUUGAUCAGUGCCCUAGCAUUUCACCCGCAACUGACAUCCUCCAAAGCAGUAUGUGAAAAUCAUGCCAAAUAUAUUAAAUUCAUUAGGUGGUUUAUAUGCUGAUUUUCAGCCAAGAGGGGCUCCCCAAAUGGCUUGCAACAAUUAAAACCCAACCACAAAGAUAUCAGAGGUAUUUGGAUAUAUGUACAUGUCUCCUCCCACUCGACAUUUACUAAUCACAGUACAUGACAAACAGCAACCAGUGACCGUCUCUUGCAAAAGGCAAACAGGACCUCUUCUGGGGAAAUCAGCAACAAGUAAAUGCAAGGAUCGAACUUCAAAGCUCUAAUAUGAAGUCCAACAUGGGAGUCGGGAGAGGAAAGGGUGGAGGAGGGGACAAAGGGCAGUUCUUUGGAGGGGUGCCAAAAGCCAACAACUAGCUUGUUAUGAAACAAACAAAUGGAAAGAAGAAUAGCCUUAGCUGACACCCUCAGCUGACUCCUGGAUCCCUCCAGAUCUUUUAUUAUUGUACUGAAUUGCAUUCUAUUGAACGACAUAGGGAAGAAUGUAUGACAUGGUUACUUAAAGUGAAUUGUUGGGGGGUGGGUUCAAAAUAAACUUUUUAGAAAUCCUGCAGUCAUGCCAAGCCAAAACUUAGGAAAGUAAGAAUUUGCAUUGUUUUUUUUAAUCAAGAUUGUUUAUUAGAUACAGAGGGGGUCCAGGUUUUUUUGGAAGGGGUGACAGAAUGAGAGCCUAAAAAUUCAUGUCACCUUUGCAUUGAAAAUAUUGUCCUUUGUUCAAAAUCCCAAUUGCUCCUUACAACGACCUGUGCAGAUCACUCCUCUGCUUUGUAGUGUCACAUUUGUAACAUUUAGCUAUGCAAGCCUAUGCAUAUUUACUCAGAAGUAAAUCCCAAUGUGUUCAAUGGAAUUUACUCCUUUAGAACCCUUUUUUUUUAACUCAAACAAUGGGUGAUAUAAAAUACCUCCACUACAGGACAUAUUAUAUGGACGUUAUACCAAAUUCCCACCUUUUCCUAUCCCAAAUUAUUUCUCAUGUGGACUAAUUUCCAUUUACUCUACAAUCCACAUAUUCCCCUCCUACACUUCUCUACAUUUUCUUGCUGCCCUAUCUAUCACCUCUAGUGUGGCCGGUCUGUUUAUGUAUAUGUGCCAUCUGGAAAUAUUUGCUUGGAAGGUCCCUUUCUGCGACGUAUAUGGCCUCUGUUAGUUUAGCUCGGAUUAUUAAAUUUAUUUAUCACUUCACACAAGUGAAAGGAAUCCCAAAGUGAUUUACAAGAGAAGUAAGUCACUUGUGCUGCACCCUCUCUUGCAGAAGGCAAAAGCAGGGAAUUUUCUAGAGAAAACAGCAAAAUGAUCCAAGGACUCCUUGGUCUAAUAUGCACUUUAAAAAGGAGCAGGCGACUGAAAGAUGCUUUCAAUUGGAAUUGUGGGUGGGAGGAAGAAAAGAAAGCAAAGGAUAGUUCCUUGAAGAGAAAGUGAAAGCCAACAUGGAGCACAGGGCAACUGGAAAGCCAUGUUGUUGUUGUUGUUUUAAAAAAUCUUUGACUGUUGCUAACCACUAAUGCAGAGAUGGGAAACGUCAAGCCUCUAGACCAAAUGUGGCCCUCAAGGUUUCUCUAUCUGGCCUGCUGAACUGUCCCCAAUUCAUAUUCCUCACAGCCCCUGCUUCACAGCCUGAGUAUUGUUUCCUGGUUGGAAUGUUGCCAUCAACUUGCUUUCCUGUGUGGAGGAUAAAGGCACGUGAAAGCGUAGAAACUAACCUACCUAUUGUACACAGCUAGCAUUUGCUCUUGUCGUUCCACCUGAUUUUGCCUCUUGUUCUACUCAGUAUCUGAGAAGGUUACCAAUAAGGGAAUGUGAUUCUCUGGAUGGGAAAGUUUCCCUGACCCCGACUUUGAAGUCCUAAAUGGCUCAGGGCCUGGUGACACAUUAGAUCACAUCUUCCUACAAAUGUCUAGCUGGUCCUCGAGAUCAUUUUCUGACAUCCUUCUCCAGGUGUGGCAUGUAUGGAGUUUUGGGAUUGUAGUACCUCUGGUGUGGAACAUGUGCUCCUUCUGGGGUAUUUUGUCCACCUUUGGUCCCCACCCUGCACUCACCUGGGGCUCCUAGAAGCUGUCAGCAUGUGACAGCGGCUACACCCUGCAAAUGGCUUUGACUGGCAGGCUAUACCUGGUGAGGGUAGCUGAUGGGACUUCUCCUGUAUGCCUCCUCUGGAGUAUUGAGUGGACAAGACCAAUAGAAGGUCCAACAAUCAAGAAGGUUGUGCUGUAGAGGGAAGUGUGGGGCAGAUGGGGCUCAUCAACCUGGGAAGGUAGGAGAAGGAAAAUCAGCCCUAAAGCUCUGCUGCUUUGUGCGACAUCUUUGGGAGAAGAAAAGGCUAAGGAGUAAACAACACAAAUCCAUAGUGGAUUCCCUAAGAUGGCAGAAUGGCACCUUGCAUGCCUCCUUCCAGCAACUCCUGCAACCAAGCUGGUACCAAACAUUUUGCUCUGCUCAAAUGCUGAUGUUUCGCUCCUUGCCCAAGCAAAACAAGCAUGAUGAAACAUUAAAUUUAAAAAGGUUUAAAAUCCCACCCCCCACUGCUGAGUACAUUGUAACUUUUCAGCAAGUAUGGAAAUGCGGUCUGACGCUGCAAGUGUUUAACAUCCACAUCUGCAUGUAAUUUAUCCAAGUAAAUUACAGGUAACUUAUCUCUUGGAAGUUAUAAAAAAUGCAUGAAUGAGUUAAUAAGCAUGACUGGAAUAAAUGAAUAUUAAGUAAAGCACGCCAUAUAGAUAGUUCUUCCCUGAGCCACUACUGCAUGCCUCAGGUGCGCUGAGAAAUGCAGAGCUAAAGACUGCCUGAAUUCAGCCAUCUGAGAAGUGUGGCCAUCUCCUAGAAAUUGACUAGAAAUUGGCAGUAUUUACACUUUUAACUAGUACUGUUGAGCUGGAGGCAGAUAUCAAUGUUUCAUUAGUGGCAAUUUUAUUCUUUAAAGGCUGCUACUCAAUGUGUCUUGUACCAUACUAAUGUCCCAGUACUUGCAUUUAUUCUGAGCAGCCAGAGAGGAAUGAAAAUAUAGAAGAGGUUGUCUCCCAUCCCCAGUGCAGUUCAGAGGUUGCCCAAGUGAAAAUGUCUACAUGCAUAUUUUAUCAAAAUUGCAAUCUUUGACCCCAAAAUUGCAUUUAAACACCCAGGCAGUGUGACACCUGGAUGACGCAAACUUUGUUUUGCAUGUCAGUUUGAGAGAGUAUUGAGUUUUCAUACAGGAAUUCACAAAUACUGAAUUCCUCAGCCGUACCCAUUUCCUUGCUGUCAUGAAUCACCAUAGAAAACAGAACGCAGCAUAGUCUUGACUCGGGUGCUCUGGCACAAUCAGCAACUGCUUGGGUGGAUGUAUACAUUGAAAUGAGGCAGUGUUAUCAAAUUAUCAUGAAGAUGGAUUCCUAAUGUGGAAAGCUGAAGUUUGUGUAUGUUUGGUGUGUAACAUAAACAUUUCAAAAAGGUCUGUUUACCUGAUUUCUGGGAAAGUGUGGCCAUGGCAAAUGGGGCUCCCUUCUGCAGCACGGGCUGGUGUGUUUGUGUGGAGUGAGUUCAUGCCACUUUUGCCAGCUAUGCUGGUUGCUGGGGCCUCUUUCACGGGCAGCACAGUCAAUCACAUUGACAUGGCAUAGGGAGAGGGCAACAGGGCAGACUUCACCUCACAGUCUUCCCUCUGGUCCACUCCCUGGAAUUCUAAGCUCGCCAUGCCCAUGCCUUGGAUACAGUUCUCCUCCUUCCUUCCAUUUGAUUUGUGUUUGGUAGCUGCCCAAGUGCAAGUGGGCUAGCUUCUGUGUGCCUUGCUACGGAAGUGCUUUGGUCACCAUUUGGGGGGCCAGGGAGAAAUUUCCCCUUGAAGCCAAUUGGCUGGUCUGGGGUUUCUGCCUAGCUCAUAGCAACUGUCAGAACUUGAUGGCAGGCAAGGCGCUGAAGAUGAAUCCUUCGACUAAGUGUGUGAGGGGUGGGGCUUCCCUGAAAUGCAGUUAAAGGGAGCCUGGGGCAGGAGCUUCUUAGCUGGAUGCCCAGGGGAAGACAGGCCAUAGCACCCCCCAAAUGUUGGCCCAGAAUUGAUGCACAUCAAAGGGUCAACCCGUAACCUUGGUCAACCCUGUCAAACAUCAACUGGCAGGCAGGCUGGUUGAUGUCAAGAUACAUACCCAAUGCCUAUGCCAAAACCUGCUGAUAUCGGUAAUCAAUAAAGUUCUGGCGUGUUUAAUCCCUUACUGCUGUCAUCUGUUUUAAUUCUACCUAUGUUGUAUUCAGCGCCUCUUCUGCCCUUGGCCCCACAAACAUUAAGCCCUAUAUGAAAGAGGACUUACAUAUGUCCUAAGUAAAAUGUCUACACCAUGUCUAUGACAGAACAUUGAGGGACCAGGUUUUAGUAGAUCGCCACAUUUUUAAUGCUUGAAAUUCAUCUUUCAUUAAUGAAAAAUUAUCAAAGUCCAAAUCAGAAGACCUUGAUUACUUUUCUUAGAAUCUCCAUUGGUUUUCAUGACAAAUAGCGUGAAAUCAUGUCACACUGCAGUAGCCAUGGAAAUGAUGUAUAUUAUCUCAGUGGAUAUUGCAUUUUGACAGGCAGCAAGAUGGGCCUUGAAAUCAGAGAUCUAGAGAUGUUCGGGGUGGGGGGGGGGGAGAAACAAACAGAAAAACUCAGAAACCUUUGCACCAACCAGACUGAGACACGUCCAUUUAACAAUAUGUGCGUCCCAAUGCAUCCAACCGCAGUUUAGUAUGAAAAAGGUAAAGAUGGAGACACAACAUUCUCUGCUCUGUAAAAUUAAAAGAUGGAAAUCCCAACAGAUAGAUAAUACCUGCUUGAGACAUCGCUCUUCCAGUUCACAGAUGCUGCCAAAAGCAGGGUUUUUGCUUCUGCUAAUAUUGGUUGGGAAACAUUAAUAUUUAUAGCUUAGCAACCAGCAGAGAGAUAACAAUUAUUUAUGGUGCAGGAAACACAGACAAUGGAGCAAAAGAAAUCCAGUUUUCCUGAUCAAGAAUCGUCUUCACAAACACAGUCUCAAAUAAGUCUGUUCAAGCUGGAGCGGAACAUAUUCAUUAUGAAAGCCUGUAUUACAUUUUAUUUUUCCCCUCAUGCCUUCGCCUGAAAACUCCCACAGAAUAAUAUUGGGUGGUUAUUUUCUUUUCUUCUUAUCCCCCGAAAGUACAACAAGCAGAGCCAUAUCCUUUCUGACAAAUGACCCCUCAGUAUGCAUUUCCUGAUAUACUGUGUCAUAACUCUCUCAUCACAUCAAUGUUCUUCUGAUUAAAAGAAAGAAAAGAAACUGCUGCUGCAUUUUGAUCUAGUGUAAACCAAACCUCCUCAUUUCGUAAAACAUCACUUUAUGCAAAUAUAAUGAAAAACUAAUUAUUGUCUCCCACCAAGAAAUCCAAACAAUGUAUUAAGACAAACAAUGACUGUAUUGGUCUGUCAGCUCUUCUAAUAUUACUCUAAAACUUGUGUCCCUCAAAUGAAUAAUUACCUACAAAAUAAUUAAAUGUUGCUGAUAUGGUGAGCACAUCCCACUUGUACAUAGAACAGCAAAGCUUGUCUUCCCUGAAAUCCAUCUCAGUCAUGUUGGAUGAGCUUACUGUCCAUCACACGGCUGGCAUCGAUCCCUGCUCAAUUACGGAAGAAACAUAGCACCAUAUUAAAUGACAAAUAAGGCUUAAUUUUAAUCACAGGCAGCCUGUAAGUCCAUGUUUCAUUAUAGAUUAAAGGAACCAAUUAUUUUUAAAAGAAAGAUUUAAUGAAAGGCCCUUAGUAAUAUAUGGACAUGUUGCCCUCUCUGCAUUUGCAAGUCAAGCUCUCCAGUAAUGGUUGAGAGACUCUGCAAACAAUCUCAGCAUGCAGUGAAGAUGUUCUCUGGGGAUUCAUAGUUCUAACUUAAAAACCACUAAACCACACAACUUCAGGACAUUCUCUCUGUAAUUAUACCAGAACACAUCACCCUGAAAAACUACAUUGGACAAUAAAUGGUGCUUGUACAUUUGUCAACUGCAUCGGUAGAAACCAAUACGCAGUUUAGGGCUAUAGUCGCAGGGCUAUCUAGGAUAAUCUAGGCCCAGUCCAUAUGUUAAUAGGACUAAAUGGGUCCCUGCAGUAGGGGACUGCAUGUGAUGUCAAUUCAAGUGCCUUGUGUAUAUCGUAACACUUACAACAGCCAAUUGGUGUGAUCUUUCCACACUAUUUUGGAGAGGGAAGACCCAUGCAGUUUCCUGACCUGCACCAAAAAGGAUGUCAUAACACAGGAAGGGGUAUGCGCUAUAGGAGGAAACUUGGCUGGUCAGUAAUUGCAUGAUCAGCGUACUUCCCUACAUCAGGAUCCUCCCUUUAUGCUUAGGUAAAGAGAAAGACUGAACAAGCCACCAAUCACUCUGACAGUAUUUUGUGACAUACACAAGAACAUGGGGUUCUGCGUCAUAGCAAGUCAGAUCGAUGUGCAGCUAGCUCAGAAUACAGAAACUAGCAGUAGCUCUCUAGGGUCACAGGCAGGAGUCUCUCUCAGACCAGACUAAAGAUGCCCAGGAUUGAACCUGUGACCUUUUGUCUAUGAUGCCUAUGCUCCAUCACUGAGCCACAACUCUUCUCCACAAGUUUGCAGCUGACAAAGUGAGUUUAAAAACACAAGGGUAAGUUGUUCUGCAUGCAAAACAUUCUUCUGCUUACAGAGAGAGCACUGUUUUCUUAAUACAAGCAAACUCGUGCACAAACCACAAGAGAGAGAAAAUACCAGAAUUCAGAUUUGUCCAAGUGCACUGGCUGUUUUGCUUUAUUUACAUGCCUCACACUGCACAUUUGCUUGUUCAGGGUCUUGCACAUUCAUGCACUGAGAUGCUUGAGUAUCUUAUUUUUUUGCACACAGAGCCCUCUGGCCAUUGUUUUCUGCAGUAUUAGUUUGCACAAUGUUUCCUGCAGUGUUAUUUUACUUACAGAGCUCUGACCCUGGAUCUGCCACAUACAGAAAGACUCCUGAACAGUAUCUAAUUGAAUGACAAACUAUUUUCAGACACUGGACAGCUCACAUGAUAGAUGCCUGUGUAUUGAUGAAUAUCUACGUGCACUUAUUGUCAAUCCUAUGAAAAACAACCUGAACCUACAAACAUAGUGUGUGCAUGUGAACUAUUUGGUGGAUAACAUGUUUGUGCAUAGGACUCAUGCUACAUCUAGCAAUUAGGUUGUAUGAAAUGGGCUUCAAAUCAGUUCAAUCAUAUAGAUCAGGAUCUGCACUAGAAAGCUUUUCAUGCAUAAGUGAUGGUUGCUCUGCAGAGGUCUUCUUGAGAAUAAUCAACAGUGCUAUAAUAUAGCACAAAUAAUGACAGUUGUUACCAUGGUUUCCAAAACGAUUCAGAGUUAACUGUGGUGCACAGCUGGACAAUAAAUCCAUAGAUGAAAGAGACAAUGACUAUUGUUUUUACUUGAUAACCUUUAGAGAUAUAGAGUACUGUAGGCUUAUUCUUCAUAAACAAGUUGAAGAUAAUUAAUGGGAAACCUGGGAAUUUCUUUAUGCAAAAUACUGUAAUGCAAUGCUAUUUCCUGAACACCAAUUUAAUGACUAAGAGAAAUCCAAUUCAAUCAAUGAUAUAAUUCUUAGUAUUCCUAAACUUUAUUAGCCUCAAUAGUUAGCUAUCAGUCAUUUAGUUACUUCGGUUUCACUAAUGAUACCCAACAAUUUGCAAAUUAUAAUUAAUUUUUUACAGAAGCAACAUCAGAUACCCUAUGCAGAAAAUCCUAUUUUCCUGAGCUGAAAAGCCUGAUGUAGGAACAGAGGCUCCAUCAGUAUCUUUACAUGCUUGUUUUUUUGCAGGGAGUCAGACUGAAUUCAGCUCUCUACUCUUACACUCCACAAGAUAUGUACCACUGGAAACAAUUUGUUUGGAAUAGUGCACACAGAUCUUAGUUUCUGAAAUCAGGAAGCCUUGUAUGUGAGAUCAUUCAGAGCACAUUUUUUCUCCUCUUUGAUUGAGGGAAUUGAAUAAAUACAGCAGGUGGAAUCCAGCUGGCACCCUUUUAAUCCCCAACAGAAAAGGAGGGAAGGAGAUGGUUGGGAAUCACCACCCCCAGAUAGUUGAGGGACCCUCAGAACAACAUGGAAGGUGGCAUGUGGGCUGCAGGGUGGAAUGGGAAUUGGUGUAAAUUUCAUCCCCUGCUCUUCUGUUGCCAAAGGCAUCUAUUGGAUCAAAAGCACUUUGGCAAGUGCUAGAGCAGAAAUCAGACUCCACUCAUUGCUUGCAAAUAUACUAUUAAGAAUGGCAUGUGCACGGUGUAGCAUGAAAAGCUCUUUGCAUUCCCAAACAGUUUGAGCCUUAUACACUAGAUGCUUUAUUUCUGCAUCUGUAAUGAGAACAGAAAACCCGUAUCAAAGAGGGCAUGGGUUUGGUCUUUAAAUGGCUUCCUUCCAUUUUCUGUCCUAUGCUAACAGCAUUAGCACAUGCAUUCAUACACCACACCAGAAGCUCAAACAGAUACUUCUUAAAUAUUUGAAGUACAUGUCCCAUUUACCCACCACUGACACUUAGUCAUUGUCACAUCAAUGAGAAAGUACUUUGGACAUGGACACACACACACACAGCCCCCAGAAUUAUUACUAAUAAUAAAACAACAGAAAGCUAACGUUUAAGAAAAUAUUCUACAAAUGAGAAAAAACUCUGGUGCAAAACUUAAUUGUUUGAUGUGCUUGUACCAAAGACAGAGAGAGACAUCAUAGGAGUAGGCAAUCUUUAGUCUGUCAAGGUAAGUGGUGAGCUAGACCUUCUUCUCUUUCUGCCACCACUUGACUCUCUCCCCCUGCCUCCUUCUCACCCCUUUUGUGCCCAGCAGUCAGCUCUAGCCACAGGGCUAACUAAUAGCUUUCACAGGAGUUUUGAAAUUAGGACAAGGGCUACAGACAAACCCAGUUGCCACUUAUAGGUUGCCCCACUGAGCCAUAGACAUUCACCUAUUGAACUGCUAAGUGACCGUGCACUGAGUCUUUAUAGACAGUACCUUGUAUCAGUGGGUGAUUUUGCUGAGAAAUGCCUUCGUGGUAGGCUAAAUGAAUAAACAAUCAAUCACUCUCUUCUUCCAUAGUUUCUCAGUCUUAUUAUAAUUGCCACAUAGUGAAACAGAAAUAAAAUCAUAAGUUCUUCCACAGCAUUGUGUUUCCCACAUCUAAUUAUUCAGACAUUUGGAGAUAGGAAACUUUUACCCCAGUACAACAGAAUAUUCUUCCUCCCACAUUCUCCCUUCCCAGAAUAUAUCCCAGCUAAGCACUGUUUAUUUUAUAUGCAAAGGAAGUUUGUUUUUUGCUUGCAUAAUUGAGUUAUAAAUAAACUGACCAUUUAAAAAUUUCCUUCAAGGUGUUAGCAAAAGAAUUGUAGUUGUUUUCAGGUGAUUAUGUAAAUUCUUCUACAUAAACAGGUAAGCAAGUAUUGCUUUUGCUCUAGUACCUAGGACCAUUAAAAUAUCUCAAAUAGAAAAGCAAUUGAUCUUCAAGGCACUAAAUGAAGAAUACCUCCAAAAUAUAAAAGGUAAAGGUAAAGGACCCCUGACAGUUAAGUCCAGUCGCGAACGACUCUGGGGUUGCGGCACUCAUCUCACUUUACUGGCUGAGAGAGCCGACGUUUGUCCGCAGGCAGUUUUUCCAGGUCAUGUGGCAGCUUCUGGCGAAACCAGGGCAGCGCACGAAAAUGCCGUUUACCUUCCCACCGAAGAGUUACCUAUUUAUAUACUUGUGCUUUGGCAUGCUUUUGAACUGCUAGGUUGGCAGGAGCCGGAACCGAACAACGGGAGCUCACCCCGUCGCGGAGAUUCAAACAGUCAACCUUCCAAUCAGCAAGCCCAAGGCUCAGUGGUUUACACCGCAGCACCACCUGCAUCCCAUUUCUCAAAAAUAUAGGUCAUAAUAAUUACUUCCUUGGUUCCUUUAUCUCUCUCAUAACAUUGCUUUAAAAAAACACUUCUCAAAAGAAUGUUUAGCAGGAUAGCCAGUUCUAUAACUUUAUGGUCACGCUCCAAAGAGUCACAUCUAAAACACCGCAAGCAGGCUUUCUCUGACCUCUUUCUUAUUGCAGCCCCUCAUGGUCCUGAAAUAUGACGGAACAUCAUUUCUACUGGCAGGAUCCAGCUGAAAAUUAAAGUUGUUAAAUCAUGUCCCAUAUUUGAGUGGAACUGUGCGAGGGUUGACUCCAACUUAUGCAUAUUAUUUUCCAAACUGAAUUGUAUUACACAAAUAUUUCAUAAAUUUCUCAGAAGAUGGAAUACCACUUUGCAAGUGACCUUGUUUAUUGAGUACUCUUAUACUUUCAUAUUGAUAUUACUUGCUUUUAUGGAAAGUUUCUAAUCUCUCAAAAUUCAGACUACAUAUCCAGAAUAUUUUUAAGGCAUUAAUUUCACAUGAGUUUAACAUGUAGGAAAUAGAAAAUGUGUAAAAGAAUAAAUUAAUGCUAUAAACUGGCACAUAAAAUAUACAAAACUCCCACUCAUAUUCACAUUUCCAGACAACAACUCAAUAAUAUACUCAAGUAUUGAAAUGUUUGUGGAGCGCUUUUUUAUGUUCUCAUUCAUAGGCACCAUUUUGAAAUUAUCAGUCUCAUUCUGGCUGCAUUCAACUCUGAAAGCAUUCAAUAACCUUAUGAAUUUAACCAAACAACGUUUACUAACAAGCUUCAAUGUAGUACAAUGCAGAAUUUCUGACACAAAUACCUGGUGAUGAGUAGAAUCUCAUAUCUUUAAUUAUUGUUGCAAUUCAAAUGAUGAAAAUGUAACUGUGUACUCACCUGGAACCCAAAGGUUGUUGCUUCCAGGAAGUGGAGAUAAAGUCUCUUCUAUGAAAUUCAAGAUGUCUUCAGUGACUUUUACACUGAGUGACUAUAUCUACAGAAAAAUACAGCUAAAUGUUAGGAGAAGUUGAAUUCAUGGGGUUGAAUUCAAGUCUGUGGUGAUCACAGAUUUAGUUAGUUAGUUAGUUAGUUAGUUAGUUAGUUAGUGUGUAUACAAUCCUUCAUCUGUAGAUCUCAGGGAGGGUGACAACAUUGGGUAAACCCACUGAAAUCAAAGGCCAUGACUAGGUUAAGACCACUGAUUAAAAUGGCUGUGCUCUGAUUAUGACUGACUUGGUCUCAACCCAGAAUUUGUCUGAUCUCAUAUUCUACAGGGAAAAAGUCAACUGAUUUGAGAGCUCAUUUCAGGUUUAAAAUUAUUCAUGUAGAUCUUGCUCUUCAUCCCUAAGGAGAUCAGAGUUCACUAAAAAUUAUAGAACAAUAUAACAGACCAACAAAGAACAAAACCCACAGCAGCAAAAAAAAAAAAAAACAAAACAAAAAAAAAAUACCAGAGGGCUCAGGAGUUGGAGAGAAGAAAAUAUUUUAAACUACCUCAUUAAUGAAGCAAGUCAGGGAGCCAUCUGAAUUUCCCAGGUCAGGGAGUUUCAGAGGAUAUGGUAGAGGGUUAUUCACAGAAAAAGACCCUCAUCUUUAUUGUCACUUACUGAAUUCCUGAAAGGACAAUGAGAAGGCUUCUGGGCAAGAUCUCAGCUCUUGAGCAGGAAUAUGCUGAAUAAGGUCUUCUACAGGCAACCUGGUCCCAAGUGUUUUGCUUAACACUUUAUAGGUCAAAACCAGCAGUAGUAGUGAAUUAUUAUUUGACAAGCUGUUGCUGCUAAACAUGGGAUUUUAACUUCAGAACAAGCACUAAUGUGGAUAUUACAUGGAUAUCUUCCUCUCUGAAUCACAUUAGUCAUCUUCCGAUAUGGGGGUGGUGUGUUGCUCUUUGCAGGGUACAGUUAGUGUUACUGAAGCCAACUACGCUUUGUUGCUAUUCUGUUCUAUGAUCCUGGACAACGAAGCACUGACUACUAAUGUGAUAAUUAAAUUAAUCUCUGUAUCUUUUAGUCAUUCAAAUGUAAUUUUGCAUGCAAGUGGAAAUAUGCAUAGCAUCAUCUAGCAUUAAUGUCUCGAUAGGAAGAAAGAUCAUUAUUGCGGUAAUGAAGUUGCAGAAUUUCAAAACUACUUUUCUACUGCUGUCUCUGUGGAGAGAGGGUUUCACUUUUUAAGAAAAACAAUAAAAUCACCAAGAUCCAAUGGGAAAGAACUUGGGUAUGACAGUUGUCUUUUUAUUUGGAAGAGCAGACCCAUCUUCCUUUCAUAAAAGUAUCCAAAGUUUUCAGAGAUGUUGGCUAUGUGUGCAGAUGCAAAAACUGAUAUGUACAUGGAACUACUUGCAUAUUUCUUGAUAUCAGAGUGUAUAAUGCACAUUAGCAUCUUAAAAGGCAGUGAGGCUGUGCUCCUGCCACUGCGUUUCAAGUCACAUUUGCGCUUGCUGUUCACACCAGAGGUGUGUGGUUGUCUUCACCCAGUGUGCUGUACCCAAUUUGUUUCUCUGUACCUGCAAACACUCCCAGCCUGCCACAUCCACUGGAAGAGGAAGAGAGGUGGGGGGAGUGUACCACCCCGACACCACAAUCCCGUGGGGUGCCAUUGCGGUUGGUGUGCCACACCCCCAGGAUGCGUGCCACGCCCCUGCGGGUGGCACGCCAUGGCCCUGUCUGCUCUCUGUCCCCGGUACCAGAGCAUGAAGCUCCACCACUGGCCACAUCUAUUCAAGGAAGUUGUCAUCUGCGCAUGCACAAUGACUGUCUGAACUGUACACCCUUCAUCUUAAUGGCAGCUUGCAUUUACAAAUCAGAUGGAAGCCCGUUUGAAGUAUUUCUCAACAAACUGCAGGGUGCAUACAAAAUGUGGCUAACAACAUGGCUUCAUGGCACCAGAGGUUGGAGCAAACUGAAACCAGGGAAAGCGGUAAUGGGCUCUUAGCCCUGAAAGGUCUUAAAAGGCUAUCAAACCAGCAUGGGCAAACCUUAUAUCAAGGGUAGCCAACAUAGUGCACUCCCAGACUUGUAACAUUAGAACUGAAAUGCCCUGGAGUUCUCCACCUUUGGAGGCUACGAUAGGGAGUCUCUUUUUACAGGAAGGGCGUGAAAGCAAGGACUUACUGCAGCCAUGAUCAUGCUCCCUGCAGCUGCAGGAUGCUUCGUUGCCCUCUCCAAUUUUAAACCAAAGGGCAUAGAAAGACAGAAACUUCUGCCCUCAUGAUGAUGCAACAUAUCCAAUGAGAUUUGGCUACUCGAUGUCACUGAAACCAUGCAAGAGUGAAUGGAAUGCUCGCUGACCUUGUUCUGGCUAAAUACAGAGAGACAGAGAGACAGAGAGACAGAGAGAGAGAAUGAGAUUCAGCAACAGGAGAGAACUGCAGUUGCUGACAUAAGGGACAUAAACACAUAGCAAAUGGAAAUGAAAAAGGUGAAGAUGAGCCUCCUCCUUCAAAUCCUUGGCUUUUGAACCAAAAAGGUUUGCCUGAGAUUUAGUUCUAGCCUACUAAUACAGGCUCUAAAAAGAAGGUUUGCUUUAAUCAAUAGUGGUUUUAUAUUUUACAGUCAUGCUUUUAACUGGAAUGUUUUCUUAAGCCCUUUUUAGUUAUUUGCAAUUAAUUUAUAUGAGGUUUUUCAUGCUUCUGUUCUUAUUUUGUAAACCAUCUAAAGAAGGUUUGUAGUUUUACCUUUAAAGUGGCAUAAAUAAAUAAGGUUUAUUAAUCACUUAAAGCUGUACAUUGGGGGGGGUUACUAUGUUGCAUAAAUAUUAUUGGGAGAAAUUUUCAAAAAUGGGGGGAAAUAGUUAUUUUGGGCUUUAGCACUGCAUCACCAAGUUGAAUCCGAUGAGCAGCAUCUUGCUGAUAAAUUGUGGGUCAUACAUGUGCAAAUCACAAAGUGCUUAAAAAUAUACACAAAGCAUAUUCAUUAAGAUGCUCUAUUACCCGAUACAAUGUUUUCACUAUAGGGCAAAAAACAGGAAGCAGAAGCAAGAAUCUGUUUGGGAAACCCUAUAAGCUUCUGAAUUAGGGCACAAUCUUAUUAUUAUCAUUAUUUUCUGUAUCACCCUCACCUGAGUAUCACAGGGCAGUUUGCAAUAUAAAACACAAAAAUGAAUUACAUAGUAAAAAAAAACCCCAACUCUGCACACGCAGUUUAAAAGGCCAUAGAUUGUUUAAUUGGCCUAAGGCCCAGGAGACUAGAAAUGUUUUUGCCUGGGACCUUAAGAUAUGCAACAAAGGUACCAGGUGAACCUCCCUAGGGAAAGCAUUCCACAAGGGGGAGCCACCACAGAAAAGGCCCAUUCUCGUGUUGCUGCCCUCUGGAUCUCUGGCAGAGGAGACAAACAAAGAAGGGCCUCAGAUGAUGACUGCAGAGUCUGAAUUGGUUCACAUGGAGAGAACUACUCCUUGAGGUACUGCAGUCCUGAACCGUUUAAGGCUUUAUAGGUCAAAACCAGCACUUUGAAUUGUGCCCGGAGACGAACUGGCACAAUCCUGCAGCCAGGCCAGGAUUGGAAUUAUAUGCUCAAAUCUUGCCCCAGUGAGCAACCUGGUUGCUGAAUUCUGCACCAGGUAAGCUUCUUAACCAUCUUCAGAGGCAGCCCCAUGUAUAAACUCAUUGCAGUAAUCUAACCUAAUGAUUACCAGAGCAUAGACAACAGAAGUUAGAUUAUUUCUGUCCAGAUAAGUUCACAGCUGGUAGCCAAAGCUGAUAGAAGGCACUCUGCACCAUCGAGCCUCAAGCAACAACAGGGGACCCAGAAGGACCCCCAAGCUGUGUACCUGCUACUUCAGAGUAAGUGUAACCCCAUCAAGAGCAGACAACCUUCCAUCCAUCUGGCCUGGGGAACCACCCACUAAAAGGAUCUCAAUCUUAUCUGGACUGAAUUUCAGUUUGUUGGCUCUCAUCCAGUCCAUUACUGAGGCAAGACAACAGUCCUACACAUUCAUUGCCACACCUGCAGAUGUAAAGAAGUAGUGCUGUGUGUCAUCAUAUUGCUGACAACAAACUCCAAAACUGUAACUGCUUUCCUCAGAGUAAACCCACUGAACUCAUUGGGGCUUACUUCUGUAUAGACAUGGAUAGGACUGCACAGUCAAACUGUCUGAAGCAUCUACGGCUGGUGUCCCAGGUUUGAACAUUGCUAGUGAUAAAGAGCAUUUGGUAACUUGUCUAGGAAGUCCUCUCACACCAAUGCCAAGUCAGAAUGCGGGAAGGAAAGCACACAUGAAAGAAAAAGGAAGCUGCUAUCGAAUAAAUGGUGUCAUAGGCAAGUUGUCUUAUCUCACAAAAGCUCCUCACUAUUAAAUAAUCUCUCCGACUUGAAAGCAGUAUGGUGAUUUGUGUGAUGUGUGCAGCUAAUUAGAGCUCUGCUCGUACAAAGACCUAUACAUAUUCCUAACUUCAGGCACUUUCUGUUGGCAUUCUGCUUCAAAAGGAAUACUCAAUGGACAUAAAAUUAAGGGCAGGAAGAAAUCUUCAUGGAAUAGGGCCCUACAUAGAGAAGAAUAAAUAUAUUGGUAUGCCCCAUUCAUUGGUCUGGCCAUGAGUUAAUUUUGAAUAAACUCCCAAAACAGGAGUUUAAAAGACGGCAGUGAACAGGUCUAAAAAACACAAGUUAGGUUUUAACACACUUUGUAAAACCACAUUCCAUAUAAUAGUAAGUGAUCUCUAGGUGAGCUUCCCUCAUUUUUUAAUGUGUCAAGAUUGGGAGUGGGGACCUUAGGUUUUGUGGCUUUGUAUAUACAUAACCCCGAGCCACACGGAUGCCUAGUAUCAGCCUCUGGAAUUGGUAGUCAGCAUAACCUCUGGAUAUGCCAGGGUUACAAGGAUCAUGGCCUUUUGGUCUUGCCUAGACAAAAAAACAGGAUCUCCAACUCACAGCUGGCUCAGCUGUUUAGUCUUUACUGUAUGCAGGCUCCACGCAGGUACUGGUAACUAAGAUAGUUACUAUCCCUGGUAGAGCCCUUAACUUGGGCUUGUAGCAAGGUUUCGAAUAGCCUUGGGGUGGGCUAACCUGUGCCCCCCCAUGUUGUUUGAUGCCAACUCCCAUUAUUCCAGGCCAUGCUGGCUGGGUCUGAUAGGAGUUGAAGUCAAACAACUUCAAGAGGGCAACAGAAUAGUCACAUCUCCUGUCCUAGUCUAAGGGAAGAAAGGGAAACAAGGGGACUGAUGGCUGGAAUGUACUUAAAGGCAAAGUGCACAGUCAAUAAAUGGUGGGAGAAGAUGAUCCUUCACAUAACCUGCUCCUAAGCCAUUUACAGCUUUGGAGGUGAAUCUCAUCACUUUGAAUUGUGUCCAAAAGCAUGCUCAGGCUAACCCAUCCCAGUUGACAUGUAGCUGCCAGAGUCCAAAUAUACCUCACAAAGCUGCUGGGGUGAUAUAAAGUGGAGCAUGUACAUGACCCUAAACUCCUUGAAGUAAGAAAGGAAUAAAAAAUAUAUAGAAACAAACAAUAACAGAUGAUAAAAAAGAAUUAUUAACCAUGGGAACUUAAUUACUUUGGCACAGAAAGAUACAACAACGAUUAGCCCUAUCUAAGAACAGGAUUGUAUAUUCAACUAAAAUAUAUGCUGCUGAUGUUGUGCUUUACAGGUUAUAGUUGGCUUGCUUUUCAAUUCGUGGCAUUUUAUUGAAUACUGUUUUUUGAGAAUUUUGUGUUAGUGGUGUCUUGGGUUGGCAGGGUGGUAUAAAAUGUAAUAGAAUAAAUUGACUAGUAUCCUAGAUGGACAUGACUCAUCUUCAAGAAGGAAAUUGUGGUACAGUGGUACCUCGGGUUAAGAACUUAAUUCGUUCUGGAGGUCCGUUCUUAACCUGAAACUGUUCUUAACCUGAAGCACUGCUUUAGCUAAAGGGGCCUCCCACUACUGCGGUGCCGCCGCCACAUGAUUUCUGUUCUCAUCCUGAAGCAAAGUUCUUAACCCGAGGUACUAUUUCUGGGUUAGCGGAGUCUGUAACCUGAAGCGUAUGUAACCUGAAGCAUCUGUAACCCGAGGUACCACUUUGCCACUUAUCCUAAUCAAAGAGCUGUACAAAGUCUGUGCAUGUUCACCAAUGACACUGGCAAGGCUUGAUCACAGUUCACAUGUCAGCCAUUUAAGUUAUAUAAAUGUAAACACAGGUAGGGGAAAGAUGGAAUGCCCUUAUACUCCGACUGAAAAUACAGUUAAGCACAUGUGCCUGCAUUGAAGCUGGUUUAAUCAGAUUUCGUUCAAACAGAUUAACUUAUUUCUGUUGUGGCAAUUGAUUUGUUGGCAAAUAGUUCAAAUAUAAGUUAAGACUGCAUAGCAGAACUCUAGGGAACAUUAAUCUAGAUGUGUCCAGUAACAAGUGCCAUUAAAAAUGUGCAGUCUAAAACAAUGGAUUUCUAGAAGUAGCUUUACUGAAUCAGCAAACAAUUGUCAGGUUCCACUACUAUCAUAGCCUGCGUUUGCUGAAAGCCAGGACCACAUGCCCCACACUAGAUGUGCAGCAAUAACAACAGAUGUUCACAACACCAUAUAAUAUGAUGAUGUGUCAAUGAAACCUUUUACAAUACUUGGACAAAAACUGUAUUCAUACAGCCCAAUCCUACACAUGCUUACUCUGAAAUAUGGCCCUCUUUUUUCAGUAUGGUUAUUCGCAGGGAAAUUGUGCCUAGAUUUGGAGCAUUAAUUUGUUAAAUGGCAGUAGUAAAAAAAUGAAUGUACAAUUAUGCAAAAUAACUAUCUGAGCAAGAAUACAGUACAGCUAAAUUUCUAUUUCCUUGGAAAUGUGCCAGAAAAAAAUUAAAGAGGGCCAUCUAUUUAGUAUUGAUUCCAAAAUCCAUCCUUUGUAGUUCUUGCACUCAAAGAGAGAAUGGUGACUCCUCUUGGUAUUGUGGAAUGCAUGUUCAGAGUUAAUUUCACAUUGGUGUAAUCUCAAACAUAAGUAUCAACUGAGAUCACCACUACAUCCAUGGUUGGUAAUUAAAAGAGAGGCUCACACUUCUAAAAACAACUAUAUUAUAAAGAACACACACUCAAGGACAGAUACACAAAAGCAAAUGUGCUGGGAAAACAAAACGUAUUUUGCAAGGACAAACAGCACUGAAAGAAUAAUCCAUAAUAACAAGAGUUCAUAACUACUGUAAAAAGUUCAAGGAACCACAGUGUGUCAGAAGUUUCACUUGGAAAUUAUCACAGCUGUAAAUCUACAAAAAAACUUUGUUUCCAGUUGUACUUGUGACAGGUGGCUGUAACACAGCAGAAAACUCUUGUGAUAUAAAUUGUUCAAAGUGCAUAGUGACAUUGAAUUUGGGGGAUUUAGGACAGUGAAAAGGAAAUACUUAUUCACACAGGGCACAGUUCAAUCAAUUGAAUUCAACACUAUUUUUAAAUUUUAUUUAUUAGACUUAUAUACUUCCCUUCAUCAUAAGAUCUCAGGGUGGUUCAUAACAUAGGAGCUACAAAAUGUAGUAGAGGCCACCAACCUAAGUGACGUUAAAAAGGAGUUAGACAAAUUCAUGGAAUAUAGGGCCAGUAAUGGCUGUUGAUAUCAAAUGUGGUAUUGCCACCACAUACCAGUUGCCUGGAAGCAGAAGUAGAGGGAGGUGUGGGAAAUUGCAAUCAAACAGAACUGCACGAGUGCUAGCUAGUGCAUGAAGAGGUUAAGACCAUAGAACUGUGUUCCUAGACUAAGUUAGGUCACACACCUCUUACCUCUGUUGGGGAAGGAAGUGAAGCUUCUUCUCUCUCUUCACACCAUGUUAUUGACCAGAAAGGAUGUUUGAAGCUAUCUAUCUGUAUUUUGUAGUCCUAGCUGCAGCAUGGAAUGGAACAUGAAUCAGACCUUUGGACUUUGUAAGUAAAGCAUUUUUAUGGUAAUUUUAAAAUUGUCUGAAGUCACUCAGAGUGGCUGUGGCAAUCCAGUCAGAUGGGCGACAAAUAAAUAAAUAGUUAUUAUUAUAAUAAACUUACUUAACAGUGUGUUGGACCUGUUCAUUGCCAGGAAAAGGCAACCUAUAUCCUGGUGCGAUACUGCUGCUUAAUUUUGUGACUGUUUUAAACUCUGUGGGGGCUCUCCCCUGUUGGAUGUGUUAAACCCCAUGGUUUGAAUCCAGGCAUCCAGCCAAUUCUUUUGUUCAUUAUAACAUCGGUCAUGGAUCUUUAUUUUCUUCCCACAAAAGAGGGCUGUUGCAAGGGAAAUGGGCAUCUGGCUGGCCACUGUGAGAUCAAUAUGCUAGUCUAGGUGCCCCUUUGGUCUGGUCCAGCAGGGCUCUUCUUGUGUUUCAGAAAUAGGAACACGAUGUGUGUGGGGGGGGGGCUACCCAUAAUUCCUGGAUUUAGUAAAAGUUAGAAUUAAUCAAGGUUUGAUUAAACUGUGCCAAAUGCCUAACUUCCAAAGGAAACACGAACCCCGAGUAAGCGCCAAGCUCCCACACCGCUUGGAGAUUGAGGCAUAUAACAAUUAUUAUGUGUGUAUACAUUGAGUUGUAUCCAACAAUGUCAAUCGGUUGAUGGCAAAGGUUUUGUCAGCAGAAUGGGGAGGGAAGCAAUUUUCAGUUAUUCCCCUCAACCUGCACCCCUCCUCUAAAUCUGCUUUAAAGUGUUCCCCCUACCAUUUGCAACAGAUUUGAGGGACGAGGGCUGUACUGGAGGGAAUGGUCAGAAACUGCUUCCAACCACAUUCUGUUGACAGAAACCUUGGCUACAACAGUGUACAACACUAUUGGGUCAUUGUUUUUUAUUUGUUUUAAAUGAAAAUGUUUCUAAUAUUGAAGGUGUUCUUCCCUAUUACUCUAAGUUGUUUUAAUAAGGAAUAUAUCUCGAUCAAUGCAAUGACGAUGACAGUAAUUCUGCCCAAUGAAUUCAGCAAAGAUCAUCCAGCAGUAUCCUUCCCCUCAUUCACACUAUUAAAAACUGAAAUCUCACCAAGUAAUUCAGCUGGUGUCAGCUUCCUUCAUCUCAAUACCAUAUACUCAAUGGGAAACUUAUAAAAAGACACCCAAACUUAUCUGAGAAUGUUAUCCAUUCCAUGGUGACAGGUUUUAUUUUAUUAUUAUUAAAAAUGGGAAUCUUUCAAUUAUAGAAGCAAGAGAACAUAGUAUAAUAUAAGGAAGCUGUCACUAAAAGGAAAUGUCUAUCAAGUCAGAUGUCUUUCUCCUGUGUACAUGGGGAGGGAAACUCUUGGUAUAAUAACUGAAUGCAUACCUCUCUCUGCACCAAGCUGAUGGGUGCAACACAUGUAAAUAAAAACAUUGUAAGAGAUAUUUGCUACAGCAGAAAAGUCUCGCUGAUGUGAACAAACAGAAUAGGAUACAGCUGCCAAAGAAAAUACUGACACAGCAUAUGGGCUGUGAUGGUUUUGAUACGUUCACCAUUUGUCAGCCACCGUGAGUGUUAGAACUAGGAACUGACAGCUCUGUACCCAGCUUCCCCAUUGUGUGAUGAGCCCCCAGAACUACAGGGUGGAGCGUCUCACAGAAUUGUAGAGUUUGAAGGGACCCCAACGAUCGUCUAGUCCAACCCCCUACAAUGCAGAAAUCGCAGCUAAUUCUUUUUGUACAGCAAAAUGGGUCUAAGUAUUAGCCUGACUCUGCCCAACCAAGUUGCCUAUCAGCUCUCCUCAACAGGAAGGACCAUAAAGCCUCUCUGCUCCUUGUCUGGACAAUGUUAACCUUUUUCUGGCUCUCAUUUAACCUCUCAGCUCACUACAGUUUUAACUAGUUACACGGUACAGUAUGAAAUAAUCUGGAAUCGCCUUCCUCAAUAUGGUGAAGUCUAGAGGUGUUUUUUCUUUUACUACAAUUGAUCAUACCUGCUGAUUGGCUGUGCAGGCUAAGACUGAUGGAGUUGUACUGAACAAGGCUGAUCUAGAAGUCUAGGCCACCAUCCUAUGACAUACUACCUUAAUAUAUGUUGAAGAGGCUCCCCAUUUGGAACAUCCCAUGGAUUUACCAUCUGGUUUCCCCUUGAGAGAUUUCAGGGCAUGAGCUUUGAGAGGACUAGCAAAAUUUCUUAAAAGGAAGCAUUCAUUGCUUGAGAGACACUGAAAAUAUAAAAGCAAGUCAGGAGUCAAACUGCUGUGGCCAUCAUCUGCCUUUCCCUUUCAUGCAGAAGGAAAUGCAAGACCUGUGACUAGAUUUGCCACACAGUUGCUCCAAAAGUAAACGAUAAACAUAUCGAAAAUGUGAGAGAAUCAAAAAGAGAUUCAGUAAAUAUGAGUAGUAAAAAAGGAUGUAUACAGCCUUUCAUGUAACCCUCAUGUAUAUUGUCAGUGCUUUUUUUUGUGAAUCUUCGUACUUUUGUCCAUUUACUGUAUUUAUUUUCCCCGAUCUGAACUAUAAAAUGGUGAUUUUCUUGAGUCAAAAUGAGAGUACCCCUAAACAUUUUAUAGAAAAAAUCACUGUAUACUGCACAAAUGAAGCUUUCUUUCUUUUUUUUACUAAAAAAGGAAGAACAAAAAGGCAAACCUGAAAAGAGAGGCACUACCCUCCAGUGGUGGCAAAAACUGAAUAAGGUGGCAAUUGUAUGCCGUUACCUGCAUUAAAGUCAAUGGGGCUUACUUCCUAGCAGACAUGUAUAGGACUGCAAUGUAAAUAAAUGGGACAAUUAAUCACUAAACUACCAGCUUCACUGAGCAAAAAAAACAAAAUAAAACCGGCAAACAGGAAGUGUUAUGUUGAAAUAAUAAUUGCCCUUAGAAGCCUUAAUAGUGAUUUGCCAGUCUACACUGAAUCAGGUGGCGGUGCAACUGUGUUUUUUAAAUUAUAAUUUUUUGCCAUGAGUUAGGGUCUGAAAAAAACAUAACAAGAAGAAAACACACUGAAAUGGAGCAAUGUCAUGGGAAUCCAUUGACUGAACAGAAACUAGAGGAAGUAUUUAGUGUAGAAGCAACUAGAGUCCCCAUUCCUCUCUCAAUCCAAGGAAAUGUUCUGACUUUUAACAGGUGACCUGGGACUGUCCACUUAGCAUGCAGGGCAACAGUAAUUGUAAAAUAUUUUUGCUUUUACAAUACAGAAAAAAUGACGCCAGGAAUGAGAGAAUGGGAAAUAUCAUAAAUGAUGGAGUUGGAGUUUAGAAUAAAAUUGAGAACAUAGGCAAGAGAGAGGAUGAAAACUGGGAAGCCUUUUUGUUUUUUUUUGUUUAGAUCCAUGAAAGUUAAAAAGCAUGGGUGGGUGAGACAGAAAUACGAAUCUGGUUUUCAUCCAUGUCAAUAUGGCAUAUGGCCAGGAUAUUUGUCUAGCACAAUUCACGAUCUACAUGAUAAUAUGUAGUAAAACAAUGCAUAAAAUGUUUAUACAAGCAAGGGAAAUAAAAGCAAACGUACUGCUAUAUGCAUCAUCUUCAACAUGAAGAUUGCCCUUAUGUUUUUUCAGAUCCACCUAUCAGCUGCUAAAAUUGAAACUGUACCCAUGGCGCAAACGCAACUUAACACAGGAAUAAAUGCUACUCUGAAUGGAAAUUAUAAACGACAAAUUAUGUAUACCAGUUGGAAUUACAAUCCCUGAGAAAUUGCUUGUUUUCAGCACUGAGACUAGAAGCAAAUAGGUGUUUUCUAAAUUAUCUAGCAGAUGGUUCAGACAUAAGGACAGCUUGCUAGAAGCAGGACAAGGCUAAUUAGCCCAUCUUGACUUCCCUUCUCCUCCUCAGCAUUCACUCCCUGAUCAUUUCUCCCCUGUAACAGAUCAGCUUCUCUGUGGUUAGAAAAUCAUCGACACCCCUGCAAUGAUUUUUUCCCAGCAACAUUCAGAGCAGAUCGUAGAUAAAACAAGCAAGACAUCUCAUGCAAGCAGAAAAUAACCUGCUUGCUUGCCAGAAUGACCGCUGCUUCUCUCCCCCCCCCUCAGGGCGGAGGUUUUGUGCUUUUGAUAGAUGUAUGACAAGAAGUAAUUCUGCCGGUAAAGCAUUCAAACAGCUACAUUUCCAUGCUAGGAAGGUCCUUUUUACUGUUGAAUUUCUACAUGCUGUGCAGCUGUUAAAGGCUCAUCAGCCUUGCCAGAACAAAAAGGUGGCAUCCCCAUUGGGGCAGUAUUCUGCAUUUUACAGCAGCUACCCAUGUUAUAUAGCUUUUGCAUUUUGUGAGUUUCUUUCCCUGUCAAAGUCAUGGACUAUCACCCAGAAACAUACCAUGAAUAUUUAAGCAGACUGACUCUUUCAAUUUGUACAGACUGCUAUGCAGGAUCAACACACGCCAAUAUAAAGAUUGAAAUCAAUGUGCUGGAUUGACUGGGUGAAGCGUGAGAUGGUGCUAGUGUUUCAAACACAAGUUAAAAAGGAGUUUUCAUUUAACUCCUAGCUCCCCUGCAGAAGUAACUGUAGCCCUUGUAGCCAUUUCACUUUCAAAUUGAAAAGCCUUGUAAAUUUCUAGGAUCCGAGCCUAACAUUCUGCAAACAUCUUCCACAAGCAAUGUCACCAUUAUCCCAAGAGUGUGCACAGAUGGGGAAAAGGACAGGAAGAAGAAGAAGAAGAAGAAGAAGAAGAAGAAGAAGAAGAAGAAGAAGAAGAAGAAGUAGUUUGGAUUUGAUAUCCCACUUUAUCUCUACCCGAAGGAGUCUCAAAGCGGCUAACAUUCUCCUUUCCCUUCCUCCCCCACAACAAACACUCUGUGAGGUGAGUGGGGCUGAGAGACUUCAAAGAAGUGUGACUAGCCCAAGGUCACCCAGCAGCUGCAUGUGGAGGAGCGGAGACUCGAACCCGGUUCCCCAGAUUACGAGUCUACCGCUCUUACCCACUACACCACACUGGCUCUCUGCAACUCCUGCAACUUUAAUAGUUGUAUAGAAUAAGGAGUUGCAACAGAUGUUUCUUGCAUAACAAAAAUUAAGGGGGCAUGAGCCUUAUCUUUUUCAUCUGGUGAUCUACAGCUGUUGUCGGGCUACAACUCCCAUCAUCCCUGAACAUUGCUCCUGCUAACCAGGGAUGAUGGGAGAUGUAGUCCAACAGCUAGAGACCCAAUUUUGAGAAACACUGCAUUAAUAGGAUCCUAAGGGAGGUGCUUCUGUUUAUGCACCCUGGCGGGGUCUGAGGGCCAUAACACUCACCAAGGUGGUGAUCCUGAGGGAGUUGCACCUAUUUGAUGUAUGUUAUAGGUCAGUCCUAUAUCAGGAACGACCCCAAUAGAAUCUUCCAGCAGGUGGACUGGUUGAUAUAGGAGAUACCCAAUGCCUAAACCAAAACCCCAAACCAAUCUGUAAUCAAUAAAGCUGUAGCCUAAUUUGAACCAAAAGAACAUUGUACUGUGGUCCUUUCAACUUCUACAUACACAGCAACAGGGGAGUAGCAAUAUCACUGCACCCAGACACAAAAAUACUUCACUCACAGCUGUUCAUAGAGCCCCACAUCUUUCACAAACCACAGAAAACCUCCAACACGGAGCCCCAGAGAUUCUUGCUCCACAUGGAAAACAAAUGCAUAAGACCCAAAUCACUAACCCCAAUGAAGAAAAGACUAUGUCUUCUCUCUUCCACCUCCUCCCUGUCUCUUUUUCUCAGAGUUUCAUCUGGGCUCAUUUUAAAAUCUCAUUCACUGCAGCUGUGACAUCUCUCGUUUCACUCCUUUGGCCUCCUCACCUGUUUCUCUUGCUAGCAAACCUCCUUGGCUGGACUUGCUCUUAUAGCUGGGCAGCCUCUGCAGCCAGAAAUCUCAGCAGGCUGACAGGCAUGGUCUUAUCCACUGUAACUUACCCCUAAUUAAUUUUAGAAAUUCUCUGGAUUAAACUAGAAUUCAGGAGAAGAGAAACACAGCACAGCCUGACUCGAUGCAAUUAUAAAGGGAUGGAAAUCUGGAGAAAUCAGCUCAUGCCUGAAAAGGAAUGGAAAUCAGGGCGGGGAGGUGGAGAGAGAGAAUCAGUUCAUACCUAGAGAGAGCAUAAAAUCUGGUUUUUAAAAGUGCCACGUGUCACUGCCAGCCUAAAGGCAAGAAAUCAGGGUCACAGCUGUCUGCAGCUACAGAAUAUUUCAGCAAUAAGCCAGUUAGCAACCGCUGGCCUGAAGGCAAAAAUCAUGUCCAUAACUCCCCUACAGCUAUAGGAAAAUCCGGCUUGGCCUGCAGGGCAGCUAACCUGAAGGCACAAAGCUGUAGGUAAGGAAGCAAGCAACAAAACAGCAAUGUCAUCUCUAAAGAGGUAGUGUCUUAAGGACUGGACAUUUAACUUACGCACUUCACAGAAGUUCACAGACUGUUGUAGUAUUGUCAGAGUUUAAGAUCUUUUAUGCUCUGUAAGAAUUUAAGCCCGCUUUAUGCAUGGGCCCUAAACAGCCUCGGUCCAGUAUACCUGAAGGAGCAUCUCCACCACCAUCGUUCUGCCCGGACGCUGAGGUCCAGCGCCGAGGGCCUUCUGGCGGUUCCCUCAUUGCGAGAAGCAAAGCAACAGGGAAUCAGGCAGAGGGCCUUCUCGGUAGUGGCGCCCGCCCUGUGGAACGCCCUCCCAUCAGAUGUCAAAGCGAUAAACAACUACCUGACAUUCAGAAGACAUCUUAAGGCAGCCCUGUUCAGGGAAGUUUUUAAUGUGUGACAUUUUAGUGUAUUUUGGGUCUCUGUGGAAGCCGCCCAGAGUGGCUGGGGAAACCCAGCCAGAUGGGUGGGUUACAAAUAAUAAAUUAUUAUUAUUAUUAUUAUUAUUAUUAUUAUUAUUAUUAUGGCACCUCCGUCUGAAGAAUGUGACUGUGCUGCUGGCCACACCCCUUGUGUGUCAUGCGGUACUGCAGAUUUCUUUCCCUGCUUAUACAGUGGUUUCCUGCCCUGAAGGACUCCAGACCAAGGCAUGGAUGCUCAGGGGGUGAGGCCAGUGAUGGGCCUGAGACCAGGGGAUACCAGGGGCAAGGGCCUACCUUCCAGCUAUCAUUCAUAUGAUUAAUGCAUCAACGAGUCUGAAGUCUCACUGUCAAUUCACAUUAACCAGGAAUCCUAAUUUUUGCAUCCCGCACAGCACACCAUCACAGCAAGAGUUAGCAUUGCUUCCAUUGCUAGGGGCAUUUCUUUUUUUUAACAUAGAGCACAUUCUCCCCCCUCCCUUACAUGCUUUUUGUGACUCGCUGAAUACAGUUGUCAUGGCAUCUAACAUGGGAAACUAAAAUUUUUGAGCGAGGUUUCCUGUCUGCCAGAUUUAAUUAGAAGGAUCUGACAGGUGCAUAUUUGUAUGAAUUGAUGUGGUCUUUGCACAGGUGCCUCAGCACCACUGCUGAAAAGGAAGCAUCUGGGCUGCCCUCCUGGGUGCAUGGCCUGGCUUCUCCUGGGAUGGGGAGGAAAUUAGUGGGAUGUCAAUGCUGUCUUGAAACAUGAAUAAUUAAGGUUUUAUUUUUGUCAACAUUGGGAAAGAUUUAUGUUCCCUUUUGGACUUCCAUGCGACGUCAUCAUUGCUGUCUAAUUGAUUCUGAAUGCUUCUAUCAAUUGUGACUCUCUCUUCAUCCUCUUUAAUGACACCUCUCCCCCCCCCAUGCACCUAUUUAUAUCUUAUUAUGAUUUUUUUAUAUAUAUAUAAAAAAAUCUUUUUCAGCAAUUUAUUAAAUACAACCUUUACCAAGCUGGUAACCUGCAUAUGUUUUGGAGUUCAACUCCAAUCAGCCCCAGCCAACAUAGCUGUGUAGACUAGGGGUCAUGGGAUCUGGAAGCCCAAAACAUUUUGAGGGCACCAAGGUGAAGAAAGUUGAUUUAACACAAUAAUAUCCUAGUACUUCUGCAUCAUAGAACUCAAUGUGUUAAGUGGUCUCCCAACCAGGCACGGAUACUACCUAAACCUGGUUGGUUUCAACCAAGCUUUUGCAUCACAUGCCCUCUAACCAUUCUCUGGGAACUUUACAGAGGACUGGGGAUUUAACAAUAAACAUUUAUUUCAUUGCAAAUUUUAGGAUCAAUUAUUGCAAUGCACUAUACUUUGUGGCUCUUUAAUCUGGGGGCUGGAUUCAACCAAACAGUUGUGAUAGCAGGAGCUAGUGCAACAAGUCCUGCUAAUGCAAUAAGCCUUUCCCCUUCUCCUCCUCAUGCUCUCCAUGGCCUAAUCAGCUGUGGUUUCAUCCUUCUUGACUAUGGGCUUUGUCUUUUCUGCUGCUUCAGCCACAGAAUUAAGUCUAGGAGCAAGUCUUAGGUUCCUGCAAUGUCAUCUUAGGGCCUGUCCAUUUUCCAUUUGUACUCUAUACCUGUGGUUCCUAAUCUUUUUGGUAAGGUUACCCACAACUCCAAUUUUUUUAUGAUAGGGUGACCCAUCUUUCUAUUGCUACAUGAAUUUUGGACCUUAGGUCUUAGGCAGCUGUCAAUUUCCUGCAUUUUAAUUGCAAGUAUGCUUAGUUGUCUCAAGUAUUUAUUUAAUACCCCUAAUCUUGCCGACUUUGUUGAAAUCUUUAUAGUACUUACAUUUAUUCGGUUAUUUUUAUGGGAAAGUAAGCGCACCAGGUAUCUGAUUGCAAGAUACUGCUUCAUUUGCUAUAAAACUUCCACCUCUACACUGGCCUCUUGGUGAAUAAGAGGUACUGCUAGUCUCCUCCCACUCUUGUUCCUAACGUAGAUCUUCACUCACCCCUUCUUCCCUGGCCUGGCGAGAGGCACCAUUUUGUGGUUUGUCUCAGGUACCAAAAUGUCUUGGGCCAGCUCUGGCCCUGAAUAACCAAGGUCUUCAAUAGUUGAAGCAGUGCCUAGUGCCUCUAUCAUUAUCACCGAAAUCAGGCUUCUUGGCUACUUGUGAUAACAGUAGCCCAUUGUAUGGUGACUUCUUGGUGGUGCAUGCCAGCUGCUGAAUCCCCUGCUAAUACAAGGUUGUUUUUCCUCAUUUCUGAGGUUUCAGCAGUGUCUGAAGACACUGGGACAGACAGACUGAGGUAUUCAGGAUCAUUGUAGUUAUUGUUCACUGCUCUAUUGCAUUGUAUUGCUUUGAGUUGAUCAUUUGUAAAUGUUAUUGGAUUGUAUUUUAAUGGAUAUUAAUUGAUUUUUUAAUAAAACAAUUAUAAUUAUGUAUUGUAAUUAGAACCCUGGGAUCUUAUAGAUGUAGAACAGUUUUAGAAAGAUAGAUAGAAAGAAAGAAAGAAAGAAAGCAAGAAAGAGGCUGUGAUCCUAAUCAAACAUACCUGAAAAUAAAUUCCAAUGAAAUAAAUUACAAAUAAAUGUAAUUUUUAUGAUUGGGGUGUCUAUUUCUUUUCUUUUCUUUACAUCUGCUUCUUCAGGAUUUGUUUACAUGUUAGUGUUCCAGUAAGAAUUACCCAUUCAUGACAUUCUUCAAUUUGUUUACACAAUCAAGAAUUUAAUUGUGUGGCUGGUAUGCACAAUAAGCAAGGAGAAUUACCCUAGUUAAUUAGGCACUCUUAACUUGCAAGCGGAAGCAUGGUCAUAAGGUGCACAGAGGUAGGGGAAUUCAGAAUUUAAUACAAGCACUGACUGACCUAAUUAAGCCCCAAGAUAGAAAACAAGUCUCAUAGGUGGAAAGGCCAUAUACAAUGUUUUGUAAAAUGAUAAAGUUUUCCUUGAUUAUAGAAGUUAAGGUGGUAGCUGAGAAAAUGGGACAUGUUCUAGGGAAGGAACAUGUGCCCAUAUAACCUGUUCAAUAUACACCAGCAGCAUGUGACAAAGAUACUUAAUACAUAGGUCCAUUUUAAGGGUUUCUUGUAUGAAUCGGGGAAUGUGUGUGGCUUUUUUAUGGUUGUGAUUUAUUUAUUCAUCACCCUCCACACACAUGCAUCAAGGGGAUGUACCAAAAGGCAAUAAAACAUCUAAAAUAAAACAAUUAAAAUCAGGCAUGCCAACUUGAAUAAAAUACUGGGGGGGAGGAGGUAAGCCCCACCCUGCAUAAUCGGUCGCAUGAUGCACACCAUUUGAAUGGCAAUGGCCAUCAACUUGGGGGGGGGGGGGAGGACCGGUCCCCUCAAAUCAUUUAUCGAGGGAGCCAAAGCCCCCUCGGCCCUAGGAGUUGGCUUCUAUGAUUGAAAUCAAGACAGAAAAUAACAGCAUUUUUUUUAAAAAGUAGACACUCAUGGCAAAUAUCUAUUCAUCCAGCUGGAAAAGCUUGCUGAAAGAAAAAGGCCCUAAAUGGCAAGUGCAGAUAGAGGGCAUCUGCUGUAUCUCAACAGGAAUGCUGUUCCUCAGAACAGGAUCAGCUACACAAAUAGCCUUUUCUAACUUACUCUGGAGUGAGCUUCUGAGAUCUUUGGAACCUGGAAAAGAAGCUGUCCCACAGACUUUAGCCAGCUGGUCUUGAGCUGCAAAGGACCUGUUAGUGCCAAAACUUUGAACUUGGCAUGGAAGGUGCCUAAAGAAGCCAGGGUGGCUAUCUAAAGAACUUUUAACUGAGUUAAGAUUAAAAAAGGAUGUGUACAAAAAAUGGAAAAGGGGGGAAACCACCAAAGAGGAAUUCAAACAAAUAGCCAGCACGUGUAGACACAAAGUCAGAAAAGCUAAAGCACAGAAUGAACUCAGGCUUGCUAGAGAGGUUAAAAGCAACAAAAAAGGCUUUUAUGGGUAUGUUCGUAGCAAAAGGAAGAACAAAGAAACAGUGAGGUCACUUAGAGGAGAAGAUGGUGAAAUGCAAACAGGGGACACAGAAAGGGCUGAACUCCUCAAUGCCUUCUUUGCC